rnacentral:lncRNA from 1 species
CAUAUAAAUAUCCAUCUCCACCACCACCAGUUUACAAGUACAAGUCACCUCCUCCACCAGUUUACAAGUAUAAAUCUCCUCCACCACCAGUUUACAAGUACAAAUCACCUCCUCCACCGGUGUACAAGUAUAAAUCCCCUCCUCCACCAGUGUACAAGUACAAGUCUCCUCCACCACCACCUAAGAAGCCAUAUAAAUACCCAUCUCCACCACCGCCAGUUUACAAGUACAAAUCACCUCCACCACCGGUGUACAAGUACAAAUCUCCUCCACCACCAGUUUACAAGUAUAAAUCCCCUCCUCCACCAGUGUACAAGUACAAGUCUCCUCCACCACCACCAAAAAAGCCAUAUAAAUACCCAUCUCCCCCACCACCAGUUUACAAGUACAAAUCACCUCCUCCUCCAGUUUACAAGUAUAAAUCUCCUCCACCACCAGUUUACAAGUAUAAGUCACCUCCUCCCCCAGUUUACAAGUACAAAUCUCCACCACCACCACCCAAGAAACCAUACAAGUAUCCAUCACCACCACCACCAGUUUACAAGUAUAAGUCUCCCCCUCCACCUGUCUACUCACCACCACCAGUUUACAAGUAUAAGUCUCCUCCUCCACCUGUCUAUUCACCACCUCCACCAUAUAAGUACAAAUCUCCACCACCUCCUCCUUAUAAGUACCCAUCACCACCACCACCAGUUUACAAGUACAAGUCACCUCCUCCCCCAGUUUACAAGUACAAAUCUCCACCACCACCACCCAAGAAACCAUACAAGUAUCCAUCACCACCACCACCAGUUUACAAAUAUAAGUCCCCUCCUCCACCUGUAUACUCACCACCUCCACCAGUUUACAAGUAUAAGUCUCCUCCUCCACCCGUCAAUUCACCACCUCCACCAUAUAAGUACAAAUCUCCACCACCUCCUCCUUAUAAGUACCCAUCACCACCACCGCCAGUUUACAAGUACAAAUCACCUCCUCCUCCAGUUUACAAGUACAAAUCUCCACCACCACCACCCAAGAAACCAUACAAGUACCCAUCACCACCACCACCCGUUUACAAAUAUAAGUCCCCUCCUCCACCAGUUUACAAGUAUAAAUCUCCUCCUCCACCUGUUCACUCACCACCUCCACCACACUAUGUCUACUCUUCACCUCCUCCUCCGGUCUAUUCCCCUCCUCCACCACAUUACAUAUAUUCAUCACCUCCUCCUCCUUACCACUCUUAGAUAACGGUUUACCAUAGUAUCCCAUGGUAUGCUUCUUUUUUAGUACGACCAAUAUCUUUAUGAUUAAAAUGCUUCGAGAAAUACUAAUUUAUAUAUCAACAAAAUAUAUGUAUUUUAUCAACGAAACAAUUAAAUAAGAGAAUCAAAAUUAGUGAUUUGAAUAGUUUUACAUGCCAACACAUGCAAGUCGUUAUAUAGACCUCACAUUCAUUUUAUUCUUAUUAUUCUUAUAGUCUAAAUAGUACAAUUUUCUUGAAACGUCUAAAUUGACAUACAUCUUAUGGUACAGUUUACAAAAAUCAAUCUAAGCCUAUUUUAUUUCUAUUUAUAGUAUUAUAUGUAAAUAGAAAAAAUAUACAAACUAAAAGGAAAGUUGACAGUUAUGUUUCUUAUUAAUGCUUCUCACUCGUAUUGUUCUUUGAGUGCUUAAUUAAUGUGUUUAUGUGUUUGUAUAUACUUUUGUAGGGAUUAAGGAAUAUUGGAAAUAAAGAGAACAUAGUGCAAAGCAGGAAGAUGCAUUUAGCAAUAAGGGAGAAAAACAACGGAAGCAAAGUUUCCAUGCAUUUUGGUCUCAGAAAAAGUCACUUUGUUUUUCUUAUUUGUUUGUAUAUGAAUUAUUAUUCUCAUUAUUGAGUUUGGUUAUUGAAUUUAGACAGGUGUAAUACACUGUGUGUAAUAUCGUGAAUGCAUUUUGUUUUGGAACCUACUCUUUGCAAGGGGUUGGUUGGGAAAAUAAAAUUGAAUAUUUGUUCUACUAAUUCUUUGCAUAUUUAUUGUGAAAUUACAAUAUAAUCAAUGCUCAACUAAUUAUUUUUUUCAACAGAAAACUAAUGCAUUUCAUUAAAAAUUAAAGGACCAAUAUAAAGGAGAAUGUCAAAUUAUAAAGCUAAGAAUUUCUGAAAAAAAAAAUAAAGUUGAGAACUGACGCUGUAUAUGUUUAGCUUAGCAAAGGUGCAUUGUGCAUCCAUAUUAGUCUCUCUCCUACAAAACUCGACAUAAGAAUUAUUACAUAAUAACGAUAAAGUACUACAAUAUCUACUUAAAAUAGAAUCUACAUAUCAAUAGCUGUUAAUAAGUUUAAAGUCUCACCCUCACUCAAUAACUUAUUUAAGCAUUGAAUGUUCAAUCCAAUUGCUAUUAAUUUCGACAAGCCGGUCCUAAUUUACUCUCUCUCGGUUUUCUCUUCCAGUUUCUUCAUUGAGGAGUUAUUUUGGGUCAAUUAUUGACCUGAAAUCACUCCUCUUCAUCUUUUUAUGCCUAUUUCAAUCUAAAUAAGUGAUUUUCACAUAGAUUUAGGUUUUUUCUUUGUGGUUUUAUCAUCUAAGUGUGGUGGUUUGUUGUUCGUCGUCUUGUGCGGCGUUGUUCGAUUUCACGUUUCUUGCGGUGUUCAUUUAAUUCAUAUUGAAAGAUUGAUUAUUCAAUCGAAGAUUUGGGCGUCAACGUUGCAGAUCCGGAUGCUAUGGAUAUUCCGGUCACUUUAAUUUUAUCAUAUAUUUUUUGUUGUGAAAACCACACCAAUAAUAAACUUGAUGCGUGGAGCAAAUUAAUACCAAGUAAUCAAAUCAAGCGGGUAGCAAAUAAUUCAAACAAAAGUAAACGACAAGAGAUAAAAGGAAAGAAGGAGAACACAAGAAUUUGUUUACCCAGUUCGGUCUAAUGAUGACCUAGUCUAGGGGAGAUAGCAGCUCUCUGCUUCACUAUAAUGAUAUGAGUUUCUUUACAAAGAGAUAUUGAAUUACAAGAAUCAGUCUUCAAACCUAAUUCUACCCAAGUCCCAGCCUCUUCCCGUGACCAAGAGACUCAAUCCUAAUGGUGCUUUGUUCAACGUGAAUCAAAACAAUCCCAACCCUAGUGUUUGUUGCCAAGAGAAAUUCUCUAUAAACCCUAUUUUCUACACAGUGUUUUGUUUCUACACACUCUCAGUCUCUCAAAUAUUCAUAUGAUACAAAGCUUAUAUUUAUAGUGGAAAGCAUUCCUCAAAAAUUGGAAACAGGCCCACAAGCUGUUUUAUUUUUCUCAUCUUGCGAGAAAUCGGCCAUCAAGUUUGGAAAAUCGGCCACCGAUUUUUCACGAGACAAAAGUCUCCAAAACCAGGUCAAAAUCGACCACCGUGUGGUGUAACACCCCAUUCCCAAAUAUAAUUUAUUUAAAUGAAAUAAACACACAUCAGAGUAAUAAAUCCAAAUGGGCAUGUCACACUACAUUUUCAAAUUUCUGAAAUAGAAUAUAAAAAAUCUAUUUAUUAAACAUCCAAUGAAAUCAUCAUUUAAUAUGCAGCGGAAUAUUAUCAACGAAACGUCAACAACUGUUUAAACCUCCAAAAUAAUAUCUCAGCAUAAAAAGCCUCAACCAGAAUAAUUCAUCAACCAUAGGGCUACAACAACAUUAACCAAAAUUUGAUACAUAGAAUGAAAGAAAACAAUAAAAUCCCAUCCCACGUAUCAGAGCCCUAGACACUUUGAGCCACCACCUACUACUCAGGAUCACCUGCAAGUUACCCAUAGGAAGGGCAACAUUUCCAAGCAGAAGGGGUGAGAUUCUCAAUCAAUAAAAAUAAAAUAUAAUAACAUCAAUUGAAAAUCUAGCACCUUACAACAUCAAUGAUUAUUCAAUAAGCAUAGGUAUUUCAUAAUCGACAACAAUCAUUCAAAUAUAGAAUUCAAUCAACAAUGCAACUCAUGAUAUGACAUGACACCCCCCUUUAAUACUCCUCAAUAAAUGCAACUAUGCAUGUGGUACCAUAAUUCAGGGCCAUGACCCACACCACUGUCGAAUGGUUAAAGCAUUCUCAGCAGGACCUAAGUCCUCACCGCUCCACACCGCUUUGAACAACUAGUGUUCCACCGCUUUGAACGACAAGGCGUUCCAGAGCCGAAGCUCUCCCACUUUGAUGUUUAUGCAACUACCCCACCUGUGUAUAUCUACAUACAACUCGACCACUACAUAUGUAUCAUAUGACUUACUACUCCACAACUCAAACAAUCCAGACUUACACAAUUAUUUAUAAUUAUGCACAUACAUCAAUCAUCUCCGACAUUCACUAACACCAAUCAAUCCAAUCACUGGCUAGUUUAAAUAGGAUUUGGUCACCUACACCAGGGUUAUAUUAGUUAAAGAGGAAGUUAAAGAACGCUCAAGAAGUCCCCUCAUGCACUAAGCAACAGUUCAGAAAAGGCUGAUUAAGGUUCACUUCGCUUAAGCGACGGCUAGUUCGCUUAAGCGACCAGCUUACAGUAGGUUCUGGGUUCAGUUCGCUUACGGGUCGCUCACGGUUCGCUUGAGCGAACUUUGGACAGAAUGAAAAUGGUUUUUCGCUCACAGGGUCGCUUACCAUUCGCUUAAGCGAAAUCUUGGCAGAACCAAACUUAAUUUUCGCUUACCAGUUCGCUCACGGUUCGCUUAAGCGAACGGGUAAAAUCGCAUUCUGGGCAGCUUGCUUGAAUGCUCGCUUAAGCGACGGAUGCUUCGCUUAAGCGACCACUCAUCUGGGCAGUGCAAAACCUACGGUUUCAGACCUCUUCUCACUCCAAAAACCCCAUUUUAAUCCCCUGAUCACCCAAAAUGUUUUCCAACAGAUGUUUACAGGUCCUAUAUACAACUAGGCAUUACAAAGAAACACAAUUCAGCCAUCAACAACAACAAUUAUAGAAUCAUUCCACCAUCACACAAUAUUUCAUCAAUUCAUACAAUUCAUCCAAAAUUCAAUCAAUUCAUGGAUUACAGCAACAACAUGGAUUAAGAUUUCGUUCUUAACAUUAAAUUCCAAGAAACUAACAUCAUCUUUACUCAUUCCAUCAGAAUCAUCAUCAAACCCUAACUUUCAUCUUAUUUUCCAAAACUAUUCAAUUAGGUCAAUUUCAGAAAUUAUAGAUUAUGAUUAUUGAGAGAUAGUCUCACCCUUACCUUAGUUUUGCAGAAAAUUAGACAGCAAGGAUCGAUUUCUAGGCUCUCCUCUCUAGCUCUUGCUCUUCUUCUCCCUUUUCCCAAAACUUGUCUGUUGUACGUGAAACUGUUUUCUGACUAUUCCUUUUCCUAACUCCCCAAAACUAUAACUCCCCCUAUUACAUUAAACUCCAUUAAUUUUUAUUAAAUUCUAAUUAACUCCCUAAUUUCUAAAAUAAUAUUAAUUUCCAGUUAUUUUAAUUAUUAUUAUAUUAAACUAUAUAAUAAAAUGCACACACCACAUAAAUCACCAAAAAUCAUAUAAAAUCACAUUUGAGACUCCACAUAAUUCAAAAUAAAAUAAAAUAAUACUAGGGCGUUACAUGUGGUACAAAUUGGACACCGAAUUUGACAGACAGGAUGCACAUUUUUGAGUCACUUUUCAACAUUUUUGUAGGCAUUAUGUCGUUAUAUGCUAUUAAUUAACUUUGAUGUUGUGAGUUUAUUAGCAGAUUCAUCCUUUAAGUUUUUAGCGGUGUUGAAUGAUGUAAUCUCGAUUUGAAUGAAUGAAUAUCAUUUUAUUUUUGUAAAAAAAAAAAAAAAAAAAACUAUAUACAUCAUUACUGUAAUUUUUUUUACAACAUGUAUCAAUCAUUUUGUUACAUUUUGUAUUAGUUACUAAAGUAUAUCUACAAAUAGUCUAUGUCGUUAAUUGUGAUCGAAUGCACACAGAUUUUUACAUUAAAAUUUUGCAAACCAUCAAAGUUAAAAAAACAUGCAUAGAACAAACCUUGGGAUAUGUAUUCGAGAUGACGAAAACACUUUUUGUGUUGGAUAAAACUUUGUCCAUCACUGCAAUGUAUAAGCAUACGGGAGAAGUUUUGGGUUUUUUCCAAUCGUUACACUAAUUAAGUGAUAUGUAAUUUGACAAUGUUGACUUUACAUUGUACUCAAAGAUUAUUACAAAUGGUUUCCAUCAUCAUCGUGUUCAUGUUACAUAAUUUGGUCAAGUGAUUUCAGCUUACAGGGGCCUCUUUAAUACUUAUUUCACAAACUCUUAGGACGAGUUUAACAGACGACAAACCAAUGAGGUAGUUCACAUCCUUGUUGGGUUGUCAAAUUAUCAACUAAUCUCACUAUUUAUUCGCAUGUAAUUCGUUGUAUAAGCACUCUUAUUAUUAAUUAAACUAGCGAGUUAACCCGUGCAAUGUAUGAGCGACAUAUGCUACUAUUUUUUAAUCUCCAAAAUUAUAUUCUUUUUUUUGUUUUUUUAUAUAUCACUAGCGAAAAGACAAGCACUCUCGUGCCCGUCUUUCCGCUCUUUUUAUUGCGUUAAUGUUUGAAAAUUAUGAACAAUAUUUUUUUAUGAAAUUUUGAUUUUGAUUAAAACUAUAUAUAUAUAUAUAUAUAUAUAUGUUUGUUGCUUUAAAAUUAUAACAAAUCAAACUAAUCAUGAUUAUCUAUUUCAUUGAAACCAACAAUAUAACAAAAAAAAUAUAAUCUAAACUCUUAUUUUUUUAAUGACACCAACAACGAUCUUUAUUAUAGAAAAAGUUAUUUGAGGGUAUAAUUGAAAUAGUAAAAAAGUAAGUAUAUAAAAAUACUCAUCUAGUUUGUUAGACAUUUUAAAAGAUAAAAGAAAAAAAUUAGACAUAUAUAUAUAUAUAUAUAUAUAUAUAUAUAUAUAUAUAUAUAUAUCGUGUUUCUUACACUUUUAUUUUAAUACAUGAAUUUGCUUUAAUCUAUUUGUUUUGUGUUAUUUGUAUUGAAAGUUAAGGGUAAUUUUGGAAAGAGAAAAAUUCAGCCUAAAAGAGUCUAAAUAUGCUAUUUUCUUUAUAUAUAGUAUAAAUUAACUAACAUUUUAUAAGUUAUAGCCGGCCCUAGUUUUCUAGUGAGAGAAACUCCAACUUCUCUCUAGACUUUCUUUCUCCUUCGUUCAUCGAGGAGGGGUGGUUUUAGGUCAUUUUUUGACCUAGAAUCACCCCUCUACAUCUUUUUUCCCCUUUUCUUUCAAUCUAAAUAAGUGGUUUUCACAUCUAUCAAGUUUUUCGUUUUGUGUUUUUUGUGAUUUCGUCGUCUAAGUGCGGCGUUUGAUUUCGCGUCUUGUCGCGGUGUUUGUUCAGUUCCUAUUGAAAGAUCUACAUCAAUCAAUUACAAAUUCAAGCAAUGAUUUGGAUGUCAACGUUGCAGAUCCGGAAGCAUGGGUAUUUCGGUGAUUUAGGUUUGAUCAUAUUAUUUGUAGGCAUUUUGCUGUUGUAUGCUAUUAACUUGGGUGCUGUGAGUUUGCUCGCAUAUUCACCCUUUACAUUUUUAGCGAUGUUUGUAUCUGAUGUACUCUAUCGAUUUGAAUGAAUGAAUAUCGUUUUGUUUUUGUAAAAUAAAAAGUGUUUUUUUUUUUUUUUUAUAUUUUUUAUUAGUGACAAAUAUUUGACCCAUACAUUUUUUAUGUAUUAAUGAUAAAUAUUUGUUCUAGUUUUCUAAAUUUAUAAUGACAAAUAUAUCUUAUGUGUUUAUCAUUGACAAAUAUUUGACACAUUUUUUUAUAUAUUUAUCAGUGGUAAAAACCUCAUAAAGAACCUAUGUUAAAUACUUGUUCCGUACUUUUUUAAUUGAUCAAUUACAAAUAUUAGUCCCAUGCUUUUUAAUAUUUUUUGUUCAAUUUUUUAAAAUAUUUAUCAAUUAAUUUAGGGUUAACAGGCCUUUACCCCCUACAAUGAUAGGCGAAUACUUGACCCUAGAGCUCUAAAAUGUGUUUUUGUUGGCUAUUCCUCCACUUAAAAAGGAUAGAAAUGUUACCAUCCUUCGUACAAACAAUUCUGUGUCUAGAGAUGUUACAUUUCAUGAAGAGGAAGCUUUUUUCAAACAACCUUAUCUUCAGGGAGAGAAUUUAAGAGAAGAUAAGGAAAUAAAUCAUGAAAUCCUUGCUCUUCCUAUCCUUGAGUUUGCUUGUAUCCUAAGGUUGACAUAACCUUAGAGAACCUUUCAAACCAUGCUCAGGGUGAUUGUUUCAAUCCAUAUAAUGCCUUUUUCAACCUGCAUAUAGAAUUGGCAGCAAGAUUUUUACAAUAUUCUGGCGGUACCUCCAUAUAGAUUUCCUCCUCUAGUUCCCCAUGCAGGAAAGCAUUUUUCACAUCAAAUUGCUGCAAUUCCCAACCAUAAAAGGAAUGGAAAUGCAAUAAUUGAAGCUUAUACUGAUGAUGACCAUGCGGGGUCAAUUACAGACAAGAGGUCCACUACUUGAUAUUGUACCUUUGUUGGAGGAAAUUUAGUAACUUGGAGGAGCAAAAAACCGAAAGUGGUGGCUUGCUCUAGUGUUGAAGCUGAGUUUUGAGUAUAACAUAAGGUAUUUGUGAACUACUUUGGCUGCAAAUUAUUUUAGAAGAUUUGAAGAUAAAAUUGGAUGGACCUAUGAAGUUCUAUUGUGAUAAUAAGUCAGCAAUCAACAUAGCUCAUAAUCCCGUUCAACAUGAUCGAACAAAACACGUUGAGGUGGAUAGGAAUUUUAUCAAAUAUUUUUAUAUUUAUUAGUGACAAAUAUUUAUUUCACGUUUUCGGAUAUAUUAGUGACAAACAUUUGUCCUAUGUUUGUUAUGUAUCAGUUAUUAAUAAAUGUCUUGUGUAUAUUUAUCAUUGAUAAGUAUGUGUCCCGUGUUUUUAUUUUAUUUUAUUUUUUAUAUUCUUCGAUCUUAAAGCAACGAUGAUAGAUCAAGACCUAGAGUGAUAAUUGGUGCCAUUUAACAAAGAGUUUGCAAGAACAUUCCCAAGAUUUUUAUUUGGAUGCAUGAAAUAUGGAUUUAAGGUAUCAUUCUGGUAACCUUUGUGAUGAUGAGAAUCGUGUCCUCCAUUGACACUUCCAGCAAUACUAUCCAUAGACAUGAUGAAUCAACGAAAGGGAUUCACAGAGAAAAGAAAGAAGAGAUAUUUUUACAUUCUUAUGACAUAACUAACUACACACUAACUAUGAUUAAGACUAGAGAUGACUAUAGUUAGGAUGUUACAACUAACUGUUAACUGCCUCAAUAACUUGCAGAGCAACUUACUUAGUGUUCACUAUGUUUUGUUGUUGACAAAAUUCUUAUUUGAUGUUUUAAAAAUUACAAACAUAUUAAAUUUAUUUCAUCUUGUUAUCUACUAACUUGUUCUGUGAUAAUUAUUUCAUGAGAAUGAUCACGACAACAUUCUGGUAUCAUAAGACAAACAAAGCAGUUACGUCAAAAGACAAAUCAGCAAAAAGGCAAAAUUUAGCUUUACAAGAAUAUUUAACUUUUGAAUUAUUAAUAUCAAGAUCAAGACAUUUAUAUGCCUUAUUAAAGGAAGACAUAUAAUGUUCUGUCGAAAAGAAAAAAAAAAGAUAUUUAAUCAUUGUUGAUUGGCAAAAUGAAGAAAGAAAUGUUUUGGGCCUUAAAGAAGAUUUUUUAUCCAUUAAGGAAAAGAAACAAGUCCAUUAAAGAAAAAUAUCUCAUAAAGGCUUUAAGCACAUGUGAAUUAAAUGUGACAUCAUCAAAAGGACAAAAGAAUGACAUAAGCAUGUCACUUCUGACAACUAUCAACAACUCAUUAUAGCCGGAUAACUCUCACGUGGAAGCAUAAAGUAAGCUGGACAUCCAUAACCUUCUGGAUGUGUAAAUUAACAUUCUAGUCGUGUUGAAGAAGAAAAGUGAAAUCAAUUGAAACUUUGGAUAUCUAUAAAAAUGUGCCCAACAACUCUAUUUUCAUAGUUUAUCACCAACACACUCCACAUCUAUAAAUACAUGAAGACAUGAAGAAUCAAAACAAGUGUUUUGAAAGCAAGCAUUCUCUCGAGUGAAAAUCAUCACUAUAUACAAACUCUUCACAAACAAACAAAUUCUAAGUUCUCUCAAUAUAUCAUUUGGAUGAUACUCAUUCAAAUUUGUUUAUUUAAAUCUCAAACAUGUGUUGAGAAUUUCAUUUGAUCCAAACCCACCUCAUCAUACAAAGUGUAUUGUGUUCUCAAGUCUAUUGCUAACAAUAUUUUGAGAAGAAUUGACAACCUUUCUUGUCCAGAAUUAAAAAAUUGUAGAAGCCUACUAAGGUUUAUUUUACAGGAUUUAACGAACUGAUCUGGUGUGAUCAAGAAUUUAUGGUGCUAGUCAUAAGUUUCUGUUAGCAUGAUACUAUAGUGGAUAAUCUUACACAAGGUGUGGGGACUGAAAGUAGCCGAGUUUGGUGAACUAUGAUAAAUCUCAGGUGUUAUUCUUCUUCCCUUUCUCUCUUUAAUACUUAAUAAUCUCUCCAAAAUAUUGUGGUCCUAAUUAAUCACAAUCAAAUUAAUCCAAUGUUUUCUGGUCCUAAAUUGUUUCAUUUAAUAUUAAUUAUACAGAUGCAUUCAGAACAUUCUGAUGCAAGAUAAAACAAUUACAUAAAUAACUAAAGACAAACUCACGUUUAAAAUCAAAUUAUAAUAUUAUUUUAUCAUUCUGUUUUAUUCUCCAGAACAUUCUGGUCCUUGUUAAAAUAGUUUUACAUUUCAGCUUAAUAUCAUUUUUCUCAUUCUUCUUAUAUAUUAAAUAUAUAAUCAUUUAAUCAAAAACAUUAUGGUCCUAGAUAAAAAAGAAUUGUUAUAUAUCAAACACUCUAAUCUAAUUAGACUAACAUUUACCAAGAACCUUCUCUACUAAACAAACUUAUUUAAGUUUCAGGAAUAAUUUUAAAAGGGUCACAAUUCACCUCCUCCUCUUGCGACGUUUCUUGCUACUUCAUGUUCAACAUAGGAUUUUAUAUCACAACCAAGCGACUUUUUCACACCCACACACCCAUUAGUUAUCUAGCUGUAAUAAAAGCAUGUAAUUGAAUGAAUUAAAUGAAAAAGGAGUUAGGGUUUCAAAUAACAACCAUAUAGAUUUAGGGGUGGCCCUGAGGGCAGGCAGGAGGGGCAGUAACCUAGGGCACCAUUUUUUAAGAGGCACCAAAAUUAUUAUUUUUACUUAGUAGUUAGUACUAUAUAGAUAUAUUUCUUUUUAAUUCGUUUUGAUUAAUUAUAUUAAAAAUAUAUUUUUAGAGAACUUUAAUUGUAAAUGAAUCUUUUGUAACAAAAACUGCAAGAAGGAAAAUAUUGAAAUAAAUAAAACAACACAAUUUUAUUGUUUCGUCCAUGACACCAAAAAUCUCAGAACCAGCCCUGAGAAAGACUAUAAUGUUGUGGGGCCGCAUCUUUUCUUUUCUUAACAUGAAUGUGAAGAAAGACGAGAGAUUAUAAAAUUUAGAUAUUUUCUACGCUGCCCUUCUCUCUCUUCAUGUUUGUCUUUUGCAAAAUAACAUCAUUGUAAAAAUUAAAUUUAGUAUCUUAUACUCCCUCCAUUCCUUUUCUUUUAAUGUUUUAGAACUUUAAAUAUAUUCCAAAACUUUUGAUGUUUUAGUGAAUUUAUUAUUGUUUUCUCAAGUUUACCCUUUUCUUCCGAAGCAUAAAGAAUAACCUUCAACCAAGACAUAAACUCAAAAAGAAAAUGUUUAAAUUAAUAAUAAUAUUGAUUUUUAUGUUUGUUUUUUAUUGAACACGUAGAAAAUUGGUUUUCAAACAAACAUAACGUUUGGGAGAGUAUGUAACACUUGAGUUCGAUUCUAGAAUUGUCUAUUUGGAAGGCAGCUCAAUCUUGUAUAAAAAUAUGUCUCACAUUCAACUUGAAAUUAAAUGUCAUAGCUUGGUUAAACUAGAGCCAUGGACAGAUAAAGAGACUAUGUGAUCAAAUGUGGCUAUUUUGAUACAAGUCAUUUUGCCUUUUAAAAAAGAAAAAAUGAAUAGAUUUAAAGCAAUUGGUUAACAAAUCCAAGUCACACCUCAUCAAGGAAGGAAAAGUCAGCAUUUACUUAGCAUUCACAUAUCAAGACUUUUUGUUUAUGUUAGGCAAUUGUCCUACCUCAGGAACAAAGAGAAGAGGCCAAAAAAUAAGGUUAAAUAAUGCAAAGUCUCUGAUUCGAAGUACUUUGACUCUUUUUGUGGAUUUUAGGGAUGUUUGGUGGGUAACCUACACCAUUCAAUCAUUCCCAUCAUAUAAUUAAAUGAAUCUCACUUAAUAAAAUCAAGAAUCAUAUCCUGUUCUUCAUCAAAAUCAUAUUCCAAACCAAAUGAGUGUAUGACAUACGCUACAUAAAUUAUAAUAGAGUCUUGUUAACCAUUGUUCGGACAAUGGUUAAGGAACUUAAAAGUAGUAUGUUUGCAUUGGUUUUAAUAACUUUUAACUUUUAAAAAGUUAAAUUUAUCAGUUUUUAUCAUUUUUCAAUACUAUAUUUAUAUUUUUAUCCUCCAAUACCUCAAGAGCAAUGAUUAGCAUUCUCAUCCGUAAUAAUAUGAUUUACAUUUAAGAAAUUCAAGCCACCUUAGUCAUUAUUAAUCAUAUCCUCGAUUUUGACUUGUAAUAGGAGCUAGAACAGCUAGCGCAACAAUAAAUUUUUUGACAAAUACAUGUCCAUCAACAAGGACAGACAAAAUAUUUAAUUUUGUAAGAAAAAAAACUCAUUCAUAAAAUUAUAAUCAUGUUAAUAUAUGCUCUACGAACACAUGUUAAGAAUUCAAUAAAUAAUAACCAUUUAGACACAUGCUCGGAAACCACAUCAAACCAUAAGACGAGGCAAUGAUAUGCAAAUCACAUUUGGAAUCCUUCAACAACCAUAUAGGUUUUUCACACAUUCGAAGACCGUUAACUCACCUCACAUAAAUACAGGUAAAUCACACUUAAAGGUUAGAGUGUUUACAGGUAGAUCAUCCUCCUCUGCGACUCAUCAAUUGUGUCAUCGAUUUGGUUUACCCUCAGCUUCUUUUUUAUUGAUUGAUUAUAACUUUUUAAUAUAUCAACGACUAUAAUUAUUUACAUUAUAUAUAUAUAUAUAUAUAUAUAUAUAUAUAUAUAUAUAUAUAUAUUUCAAAGUCUAAAUUAGUAAAUGUGCACUUUUUUAUUUGGACAAAAAAGUCAUUCACCUUUAUUAUUUAAAACUAUUACAUUGAGGGUUACUUUUGUAACUUUAUUAUAAAAUAAUGGCUAAAAUAUGGUUUUAGCCCAUGUAAAUAUGUCUCGUUUUAGUUUUAGUCCAUGUAAAAAAAAAUUGUUUUUGGUCCCUGCAAAAUUUUUUGUUUUUGAAAAUAGUUCCUCAGGGACUAUUUUCAAAAACAAAACAUUUUGCAGGGACCUUUUUAAAAAACAAAAAAUUUUGCAGGGACCAAAAACAAAAUUUUCUUUUUACAGGGACUAAAACCAAAACGAGACAUAUUUGCAGGGACUAAAACCAUAUUUUAACCUAAAAUAAUUGUUAACUUGCAUCACUUAGCUAAUUACUUAGAUCCACUUUUGUUAUGAACACAACAAUUACAAACAUUAAACAACUAAAAAAAAGACAAAAUAUUUGUGUUUUUAGUAAAGACAAAAUAUAGUUAACUUGCACCACUUAGCUAACUUAGACUCACUUUUAAUUUUUUUUUUAUUAAUUAAAUGCAAUUGAAAAAAAUAACCUUCUAUGAAAAACAAUUGGAAUAUGGGUAAUUGAAUUUUAUUUUUUUUUCAAAUAAAAAUGUGAGCACUACUAGAAAAAGCUAAGAUACCGACGAAAUUUAGAGACGGAAUUAGAGACGGAAAAAAUCAAUGAGAGAAGAAAAUAAGGUGUUUAAAAUUCAUUAUCUGGUAGAACAGGUCUCGUGCGGUUGUUUCAGCGGGGUUGAUUUAGUCCUCAAUCCGAAGCUUCAUUACACUUGAAGCUUCUUAGUCGUGUUGUGUAGAAAUUAAACCUUAAUAUUUUGACUCAAAGCUCGUCAUGUGUUACUAAUAUCUAUUUCUAUUAAGUAUAUAUUUGUAUAACUGUGCUACAAUCUAUCAAUGGAUAUAAUCUAUCCACCUGUUUAUUUUAUAAAGAUUAAUUAUAUGAUUGUUUUAAUACAAAUAAAGACCUUAAAAGUUAAAAAAGUUAUACUCCAUAUUUCAAUACUCAAAUUUCAUGGUUGUCCAAGUAAGUUGUAACAUAUACUCAAAUUUCAAAAUAACAAUUCGUUAUUCAACAAAUUUGAAAAUGAUGCAAUGAUAAUGACAUAUAAUCAUCUUAACAUCAAAAAUAUAGCACAUGUAGUUGGAAAAAAAAAAAAAAAAAAAACGCAUGUCAAAAGUGUGUACAUUUAAGAUCGAUAAGUCAUUGUAGGAGUAAACCUAGCCACUUGUUGUACAUACAAUAUGAUAUAGAUUUUGAGAAAUGUUAUUUGUACAACUAUUUUGUGACAACUUUCUCUUUCAUACUCACAUUAUAUUCUUACUCUUUCUCAUCCUUUUUCUCUCUCCAUUAUUUUUGACCAAUACCAAAAGAGAAAAAGAAGGUUGUCAUGAAAGUUGUAUCAAAUGGUUAGCUCGAAAGAUUUGUAUGUUACUUUACCACAUGAUUUUUUUUUCGAACAAGUCAAAAUGGAAUAUUAUAUCAUCAAAGAUGGUUCAUCUCGCAUAAGGUAUGCAAAAGAGAAACACCCACCAAAAAAUACAGCUAGAUGUCUGGUGCCAUAAAAGAGCACUCCUGAAGAAAAACAGAAUAAAACAAGGCUACAAUAAAACACCCAUACAAUGUAAAGGGUGCCGCCAACAGUCAUGGUAACUAAAAGCAUAAGUAGACUUGUUUGCCUUUAACCAAGAAAAAGACAUCAAUUUAAUAUUUUCCCAAUAAUUAAUUAUUACACCUCUCUUUAAAUAUAAUAUAUUCUUAAGUAGUUUUUUUGUCUUUGUUAUAUGACCAUUAAUUUGUAUAAUUUUAUCCCAAUUAAUUUAUAUUUUUAAUUAAAUUAAAGAUGCAUCUAGUAUAACUUCUGAAAAAUGGUUAAAGAGUUGAACAUCACGUCCUUAAGGAGCAUGAACAAACUUCUUAAAAAUGGUUAAAGAGUAUGAAUGUCAACAUGUAUCUAUCAACCAAUUUUUUAAUCAAACUAACCUGUUCCAUAUGAACAUAACCUCAGAUAUGGACCAGCUCCAUGCAUGAGUGUGAGUUAGCUUAAAACUUAUGUUAUAUCUAUCAUUCUUUCUAAUAAUUUUAUUGAAUGAAUUCUAUUUUGCCCGUGCAAAAAAAGAAGUAAAAAUGAACCUUCUAGGAGAGCAAGGAAAAAAUUACUGGUUAAUGGUGAUUUUGACUGGUUUCUUAACUAUGAAGUUAUGACCUUGCACCAACGUUAAGGACUAAGUAUUUGAUCUAUUAAAUUAGGGUUACGAAAGCUCUAGUUUUGCUAAAUUAUGAAAAUACUAGUUUUGUUUAUAAUAGUGAUCAGAGGUAUAUAUCAAGACAUGUAUAUUGAUUUUGCUAAAUACUACUAAAUUGGUGAAAUUGGAAUUCCUAAAGUUUAAUAUCCCUAUAUUAGACGAUCAUAUAUCAAGACAUGUAUAUUGAAUUUGCUAACUUUGAAAACAGCAUACAAACCAAUAUAUUAAAAUAAGAGCAGUGUCAACAUUUUCUGGCAAAUAAGCUAACUUAUUCUUUUGUUUACAUUUCAUUUCAAAUUCAUACCCAACUUGGGACGCAUUGGUCCAAAAAGCAUACUCACUAAUUCAAAGGCAAUCCAUUUUUUUAAUAAUAGCUGCAUGUAUCAUAAUACUUUUCACAUUUGUAAACUUAAUUUUCAAAGGCAACCAAGAUGAAUAGUUGAGGUAAAUUGGACAAAGAAAAAACCAUAUACAAAUACGUCUAUUCCUCUCCACCACCACCACCACCACCACCAUCUAAGCCAUACAAAUACGCUUCUCCACCACCACCAGUUUACAAAUACAAGUCCCCACCUCCACCCGUCUACUCACCACCACCACCACCAGUUUACAAGUACAAGUCCCCACCUCCACCACCAGUUUACAAGUACAAGUCCCCACCUCCACCCGUGUACUCACCACCACCACCACCAGUUUACAAGUACAAGUCCCCACGUCCACCCGUUUACUCACCACCUCCACCAGUUUACAACUACAAGUCCCCACCUCCACCCGUCUACUCACCACCUCCCCCGGUUUACACGUACAAGUCACCACCUCCUCCCGUCUAUUCACCACCUCCACCAGUUUACAAGUAUAAGUCUCCUCCUCCUCCUGCUUACUCACCACCUCCACCACAUUAUAUCUACUCUUCACCACCUCCUCCUCCUCCUCCUUACCACCACUAAAUGGUGGUUUACGAUAGUAUCCCACCGUAUACUUCUUCCUAUGUACAACCCACACAAAAUACAUAAUAUUUAAAAUAUUUUUAUAUAAUUCAAUUACAGUGCUUAUAAUAUUAAUCCGAUAAAUAUCUAGUUGGGCAUAGCUUCAAAUAAAAAAAUUUGGUAACACACAUAAAUGAUAAAAUUUACCAGAUAAAAAUUUAGUGACAUCAUAUCCUUUCUUUUUUAAAUUUUAUCAUUGAUGUGUGUGCGUUUAAAUAAAGUGUUGUUGCUUUUGGAAAUAGGUUUAAAUGCGAAACUACAUAUACCUUUUAAAGUUUUAAUUUAAAAAAUUGGAUUGUUAAAAUAUUAUCAUUGGCAAUUUGUAACAAAAAAAAUGAGACCUGAUGCAGAAGGUGAGUCAUGAGGUCAUCCACUAUACAAUAUGAUCACAUUAUGAUCUUAUUAAUUUUGUUUGAUUUAAAAUUUCAAGCGAUUAAUAAUCCUAAUAAACAGUUUUAGCUAGAUUAUAUAAUGUUUAAGGCAAAACCAUUUUCUUAAUGAAAGAUAUUGAUAUAUUUAUGUGUACAUAUACUUUGCAGGGUUUGAGGAAUAUAAUGGAAAUAAUAAAGAGAAGACAGUGCAAAGCAGGAAAGAUGCAUCAAUUCACAAUUAUAUAGCACAAUAAAAACAACAACCUAAGCAGUUUCCACGCACUCUGAUUCAGAAAAUGUCACUCCUUUUUUCUUCAUUUUAUUUAUGAGAUUAUUAUUCUCAUUAUUGUGCUUUGAUGUUUGAAUUUAUACUGUUGUAAAGCACUGUGUGUAAUAUUAUUCAAAUAAAUAGAGAACGAUUCUGAAAUUUGUCAUAUUGUAAAGAAUUGAAUAUAUACGGUGGCAGAGCCAAUAAUUUUAUCGAGUUUGAAUAAAAAAUUUACCGCAGAUUCACAUGCGACAUAAUAUAUAAAUAGUCAUAAAUCGAAAUAAAAUAGGCUCAUCAUUUUAUCGAUAAAAAUUACAAUUUAUUUGAAAUAAGAAAGAUGAAACAUAACCUGUCAAUAAUGUGCUAAAUAAAAUUAGAAGGUAAAUGCCCUUCCCGAGACCUCUUUGCGGUGAAUGUUCGAAUAAUAUCAACAACAUCAAGUGACUUGAAUUUCUCCCACUCGGUGUAACAUAUCAUCAAGUCAUUGAACCACACAAUGUUGAUCUUGUUGGUAACAAUUUUUUCUCACGGGCUUAUAAGAUUAUUUUACCAGCUUAUUGACAGGGCUUGAUAACUGAUGGACUUUCAACUUUUGUUGAUGUUUGUAAUAACUUUGGCGCACCCGCUAUUGUUGAAGAUCCACAAAUUAGAAGUUAAAAUCUGAUUCAUUAUGCUUUGAUGUAGAAAUGAUUGUAAGUUUUUUUGGGUAUGAAGUGAUUGUAUGUCUUUUUUUUUUGUCUAAUAAGCUAUUAUAAAUAGUGAUUCAAAUUUUGUUACCAUAAAUUAAAUGAGCAAUGGAGUAUAUGUAAAUUUUGAUUUAUGCGAGUAUUGAGUAUUUCCGUGAGUAUUGGUUUGGAUGAAUGGUAUAAUAGUUCAUAGUUAGGGAGAAUUAUUCUAAUUAAGCCACUUCAAGAAUUUAUUCUAAAAAUUGAUUAUUGUAAUCAAUUUUAAAUUCCAAUAAUAUUGAUUAUAAUAUUUUAUUAUAUUUAUUAAACUAAUUUUAGUAGUAAUUUUAUGAAUUAUUCCUUUUUAGAAUUUAUAGUAGAAUAGAAAAUAUAAAAUAAAAUAAAACAAUGAUAAGAUUUAGUGACAGCCGCAACCGCAGGUAUAGGUCCGUAAUGUUUUUAAAAUGGUCUACUUGGAAUUACAUACGUUUUGUCCGUAGGUAAAGGUGGAAAAUAUGCAGCGACAUCCAUUUGACAAUGACAGACGGAUUUAGCUACGGAAAUUUAUCCUAGAGUGACGGAUUUUUGUUGUCACUACAAGUUAAAUUUCUUGUAGCGAUACAAAGAAAGUAUCGGUUAAGCCCGGGCAUGUACCCAGACUAGAUGGGUUGUAAAACCGCUCCUGAAAAUAUACAGAAUACAUGCAUGAUUCAAAAACUAUCUAAUUUUUCUGGAAAAAAGGCUAAACUGCAGUUUUGACCUCCUAACUUUGUAAAUGUUGGGAUUUUGGCCCCCUUUUAAAAAAAUGAAAAUUUUCCUCCCCUAUGUUUUAGCCCCUUUGCAAAAGUGACCAUUUGGUCAAUUUUGACCGGGUCAACACGGAGGUGGCACUUCAUUAAUGGUGCGGGCACGCUACAUGUGUAUUUCGCAAAUUUUUUAAAUCAAAAUGCCACUUGUGUAUUUACUUGAAUUAAGAAAAAAAAAACUAUAUAAAGGUCUUGCACGUGUGAAGUCUUUCAGAUUCUAGGGUUAAAAAAUUUCCCAAAUAUUAACAUCAAUGAAAAACCACAAACCCCUAAGUUUCCAAAUCAAAUCUUCAUCCAUAAUCUCCUUCCCAAAUUGUUUCUGAAUUCGAAUAUCCUUCAUAAAUCGAUUGUCAGGUUUUUCUUCAUCUUUGUUUGUUGCGAAAAUGAAAUGGGUUGAAGAUGGAAAGGCGGCGACGAGUACAGGUUCGAAGAAGAAGAAGAAUAAAGAUGCGACAGGGAGUACAGGAACAAAGAAGAAGAAGAAGGAUGCGACAACGACUAAAGGUUCAGAGAAGACGAGAGAUUUGAAUAUGGAAGUUCAAUCAACUCAAGGAAACAUGUUCAAUGGAAAGAUUCCCGACAUGGAUGCUUCAUAGUAAGCGUUUUUUUGUUUUCAUAUGUCUAUUAACUAUAAAGUAAAGCUCAUGUUACAUUAUUUCUGAAUAAAAAAGGGUUGUUGGACCCAGAAACAGUUGAAGAUGAAUGGUUACAUGCCAUUUUUCGUUUUCCGAUCUGCAAACACACAAAACAAAUCGACCUGGAAGAAAGGAUGUAGAGGAAGAAUCGAUUUCAGAUAGGUAAUGUGAAGGAUGGUUGAAGAAGAUGAAGUUUCGAUUAUGGAGAAGAAUGGAUGAAGAAGAGCGAAUGAAGAAGAAAGGUUGAAGAAUUGGGGGUUUUUAAGGUUGGAGAUUUUUACCGUUGGAACUCUCACGUGCCAAUCCUUUAUCUAUUAUUUUUUUUAAUUCAAGUAAUACAUAGGUGGCAUUUUUAUUUUAAAAAAAAUGGCAAAAUACACAUGUGGCGUGCCAACACCAUUAAUGAAGUGCCACCUCCGUGUUGAUCUGGUCAAAAUUGACCAAAAUGUCACUUUUUCAAAGGGGCUAAAACACGGGGGGAGGGGGGGCAAAAUUUUGAUUUUUUUUUUAAUAGGGGGACAAAAUCGCAACAUUGACAAUGUUAGGGGGGACAAAAUCUGCUCCUUUCCGUCCCUUUGGUUUCGAUAAGAGUGGUUAAGUACCAUAUUGAGUGGUUUUAAUCGAGCGAUUAAGCCAUAUCUUUUAGGUGUAUAUACUCGAACAAUUACAUAUUGUGCAAUACGUGAUUGAAUAGUGAUAUGAGCUGUUUUAUUCUGGAGGCGACGCGGUUGUUAGUCUACAUUGCACAAACUUGGGUAGUGCCGCGAAACGUCUUAAAGAGAGCGACCUGGUCGUGACUCAACCUGAUAAUUUAUUCGGUACUAGUUUCUGAUUUGUAAUCUCAACAAAUAUCUCAUGAGCUAUAUUCUUCGGUAGUAGGCUUCAGUUUAUGUCCAACAAUAUAAAUAGGGGGAUUCGAAGAAUCCUAACCGUUGCUUACUUUUCUGUAACCAAAACAGGUAACUUGCUAUGUUGCAAACAGAUAAACAUUGCAAUCUCUAACCUUUAAACUCUUUUAUUUUAUAUCGUCACCUUAAAAUAAGUAACGUGAAUUGUUAGGACGAAAUGACAAUCCAUGUGGAUACGAUACUGUACUUAUCACUUUAUUACUUGGUAAACGAUUUGGUACACUUGCAUAAUCCGCACAUCAAUAAUCUUUGUUUGUUAGAAGUUUCUUGCUUGUAUGCUUGAGCAUUGAAAGUCUCUUGCUUGUGUGGCUGAGCAAUUGUAAUCUUGUAUGAUUAUAGUAAAAAAUCUCUUGUAAGUGACAAGGGUAUUAAACUACUUCGGGAUUGAUACCUUGAAACGCUUACCAGAAGGCCAUCGACAUAUAAAUAGACUUUACACAUCUUGUGCUCCAAUGUGUACCUUUAAUAUAAGUCAUUUUGCCUAUUAAAAAAGCAAAGAUGAAUUGAUUUAAAAGUUAACAAACCCAAGUCACACCUCAUCAAGGAACAAAAAGUCAGCAUUUACUUAGCAUUCAUAUAUCAAGACUUUUGGGUUAGGUUAGGCAAUUGUACCACAUCAGGAACAUUUAGAAGAGGCCAAAAAAUAAGGUUAAUUAAAUAAUGCAAAGGCUCUAAUUCGAACUACUUUGACUCUUUGUGUGGAUUUUAGGUAUGUUUGGUGGGUAACCUAUAUCAUUCAAUCAUUCCCAUCAUAUCAUAUAAUUAAAUAAAUCCCACUUAAUAAAAUUGAGAAUCAUGUUCAUGAUCAAGUUGGUGUAUGCUUAGAACAGUCUCAUGGUAUAAUUAAUUUGUCCCUACUGAACAAAAUCAUAAUUUAGAAACAUUCAUAAAUUAUAAAUAAUAAUACAAUCUUAGUCAUUUAUUAAUCAUAUCCUCAAUUUUGACCUGCAAUAGGAGCUAGCACACAGCUAGCGCAGAAAUAUAUUUUUUCCAAAUUCAUGUCUGUUACUUAUAGUUGUCAAAAAAAAAAAAAAUGUCUAUUACUUAUAGAGACAGAUCAAUUAUUUAUUUUUUACAAGGACAAAAUUCAUACUUAAAAUUAUAAGACUAAAAGUAUAUAAAAUACUUUAAUUAGAGUCUAUCAUUGACUAAGGUAAAGGUUAGAGUUUUUACAGGUAGAACAUUCCAUCAACUGUGGUUUACCCUCGACUUCUUUUUUAUUUAUUUAUUGAUUAUAACUUUUUAAUAUAAAAACAACCAUAUUUUUUAAAUACAAAUAACUAUAAUCAGUUUUCUUAUUUAUUUGCAGCUUAAUUCAGUUGGUUUGAAUAAUGCAUAAUAUAUGCAAGGUCCGUGGUUCAAAUCCCGGCCACCACAAAAAAAAAUGUAUUGUAAAAAAAAUGUAUAAUAUAUAUAUAUAGACACACACUAUAUCUUUUUCAACUUUUUUGGGCUGACUUUUUCUAUUUCUAAAAAUGUCUUCAAUUUUCAAUACAAAAACACAUGUAACAAAUAGAUAAGAACAAACGUAAAUAUUAAAAAAAUGUAACAAACUCGAUAUGAAUAUAUAUAUAUGUGUGUGUGUGUGUGUCUGGUUUUUUCCUUUAUCAUUUAAAAAGUGUAACAAAUAGAUGAGUAUAUUUAUACUUACUUUUUCAUUAUCUCAAUUAUAUCUUUAAACAAUUUUUUUUUCUAUAAUAAAGAUUGUUGUUUUUAUCAUUAAAAAAAAAUUAGAUUAUAUUUUUUUUGUUAUAUUGUUGGUGUCAUUGAAAUAGAUAAUCAUUGUUAGUUUGAUUUGUUAUAACUUAAAGCAACAAACAUUUAUGUUUUGUUAGAAUAAAAAUCAAAAUUUAUUAAAAAAAACAUGCGUUCAUAAAUUGCAAUAAAAAGAAGGGAAAUAGAUGAGUUUGAACAGACUUUUUCAUUACUUGUUUUAACCUUCAUUUAAAAUAUUUUAUUUACAAUUUUAUCAUUUAAUAAUAUUAUUUUAAAUUUUAAUCAAAAAAUUGAAUCCUAUUAAAAUAGGAAAUAUGCCACUACAAUAGAAACAAUAUUAUCAAUAUUAUAUAAGAAGAGGAUAGAUAUUUUGAGCUGAAUUUUUAUAAUUCCAAUUAUAUUCUUAAACAAAUUUUCUUAUAUUAAUGUUAUAUUGUUGGUGGUAUUAAAAAAUAGUAUUUAUGUUAUAUUUGUUAAAUUAUUAUUAUUAUUGAAAAAGAUAACAUGUUUUUCUGAGUUUAUACUUAUAAUUUUGUUACAUACUCUCGUUUCUUGUUUUUUUUUAUUAAAUAUAUAUAAACAACGGAAGUGACCCUUCCCGUAUAAGAUGUGUUAAGGAAGGUCAACUAGAGUUUGUACAAAGACAGCAAAGCCAAAAACAUAGGAGAACUGCCGCAAAACACGAAAGAUAUAAUAAAUAAGGGUUGUUUUUUCUUUCUUUAAAAAAAAAACAAAAAGAAAUAAGGGUAGUGUUAACUUGUGCUUUUAAGACACAAGUUAAGAAUUUAAAAAUGGAAUUAAAUCAUAAAUUAUGUCUUGAAAAGAUAAGAUUUUGAAUUUCUAGAAUAUUGAAUGCACAAUUUUCAACAAAAUAUUUCUAUUUUUAGUUUCUUAACUUGUGCCUUGAGUACAAAAAUUAACAUUUCCUUGCAAAUAAAUGCCCAAACAAAAUAAAUGUAAGUAUACUCUCGUUUCUAGUUUGUUUAAUAUCUAUUUCUAUCAAGUAUAUAUUUGUAUACUUUAUGCUACAAUCCAUCAAUGGAUAUCAUAUAUACAUUCACCUGUUUAUUUUAUAAAGAUUAUGGAACAAUUAUAAACACAAGGAAAAAGUAGAAAACAGCGAGAGAAAGAAAGAGAGAACACAAAAUAAUUUGUUUACCCAGUUCGGUUCAAAUUGACCUAGUCCGAGGCAGAGAGCAGCCCUCCGUUCCACUAUAAUGAUGAGUAACUUUACAAAAGAGAUAUCAAUGAGUUACAAGAAUAAGUCUCCAAACCUAAUUGUACCCAAAGUCUCAAUCUCUUCCCGUGAACAAGAGACUCAAUCCUAAUAGUGUUUCCCAAGGUGAAUCAACAACAACCCUAGUUUCUCCCGCUUAGAGAAAUCUCUCUAAAACCUUGGUUUGUUGUCUGUUUCUAAACCCUUGUUUUCAGCCCCUUCUAUCUCAAGGUUUACAUGUGAUACAAGGUUUAUAUUUAUAGUAAAAGUAAUCGCUAAAAAAUUGGAACAAAUCUCACGCUGAAAAGUACAUUUUAUUUUUAUGCAUCAGUGUAAAAUCGUACUACGAUUUUCCAAAUCGUAUUUCGAUUUUUCCAAAAUGGAAGUGCCAAAUCUGAUCCAAAAAUCGUACUACGAUUUUCCAAAUCAUGCUACAAAUUUGACAGCUUCCAGAUUUUAAUUUUGAGUCACUUUUACAACAAAGACCUUAAAGUUUGUGGUAUUAUAUACUUAAUAUAAUACUCCCAUGGCAACCUGAUUAGCUCCCUUGUUAUUAGAAAGUUACACGCAAUUUCAGGGUUUGGUUGUAUUAUAUCCUGUCCAGCUAAGUUGUAACAUACUCAAAUUUCCAAAUAAAAAUUCGUUAUUCAACAAAUUUGAAAAUGAUGCAGUGAUAAUGACAUAUAAUCAUCUAACACAUGUAAUCAUAUAACCAGUUUGGCUAGGUGAUACUUAUGGUAGUUGGACAAAAAAAAUAUCACAUGUCAAAUGUGUGUACAUUUAAGAUUGAUAAGUCAUUGAAUGAGAAACUUAGCCACUUGUUGUACAUACAAAUAUUUGUACAACUUUUAGAUAAUUUUCUAUUUUAUAUUCACAUUAUAUUUUUACUCUUUUUUUUUCUUUUUUUUCUUUAUUGUUUUUUAUCAAUAAAAAUAGAGAAAAUGAAAAUUAUCAAAAAUAUUGUAUCAAAUGGUUGUUCAAAUAUUAUUGCUCAAAAUAUACAAUAUGAUAUAAUUUUCCAGGAUCGAAAGAUCUAAAUAUGUUCCUUUCCCACAUAAUUAAUUAUUACACCUGUCUUUAAAUAUAAUAUCUUUUUUUUUUUUAAUUUUUAGUAGUUCUCAUGUCUUUGUUAUACGACCGUUAAUUUGUAUAAUUUUAUUUCCAUUAAUUUAUAUUUUUUUUAAUUAAAUCAAAGGUGCAUCUAAUAUACUUUUUUUUUAAGAGGCUAAAAUGAAAUACAUUACCAAAACAAGAUAUUUUUCCUAGCACAAGAUGUACAAAGGAAGAACAAUAGAGUCAAUAGAAUAUGUACAAUCAAGCAGAAAGAAAGCACCAGAGACCUAUAAGCAUGAAACAGAACUAAGUAGUGCCCAAAAUAACUAAUGGACUAAGCAACAAACCAUGAAAAUUAAACGAAAGAGAGACAAGUUUCGCCUUCAACCACGUAAAGGAAAGAACCUUAAUCUAAUAUAACUUCUUAAAAAUAGUUAAAGAGUUGAACAUUACCACCUUAAAGAGUAUGAACAAACUUUUUAAAUAUGGUUAAACAGGAUGAAUGUCACGUAUUUACAGUACAUAUAUCUUUGGUUUUUAUAUGUGUUUAGUCUCUGUAUAUGGGGUCAUUUAAAAAAUUAAUCAUUUAAAAUGGUCUCUACAUUCCUUCAUUAUGACAUUUUGCCCUCCCAAAAAUUAAUCAUUAAAAAUUUGGUCCCCCCUACUCAAUCACUGUCACGUCACUGGAUUAGCUGACGUGGUACAUUGACUCAGCAAAGUUUGAUGUGAAGUGACAAAAAUAGCCCUAACACUCUGUUUGGUAUGAGAGAAUUACAGCAGAGAGAGAUAUUGAAGAGAGAAAGAGAAGAGAAAUAUGGUAUUUCUCUUGUUUGGCAAAGGCAAGAAAGAGGGAGGAGAGAUAAGUUUUGCGUGGGAUCCACGUGUUUUUUGUUCGCCCCUAUAAACGAAGAAAGAAGAAAGAGGAGAGAAAUAUACAUUUACUCCCUUUGCCUUUUAUACCCUUCAAUUUAAGACACAACACACCUUUUUUUUUUCUCAUUACUUUGUUUUUAUUCUUAAUAGGCUUAUCUAAAAAUUAUUUCAAGGACAUUUGUACUUUAAAAAAAAAAAAAUUGAAGAAGCUAAACUAACCCCCUCAAAUUGGCACUAGAGAGAAUCGAACUUGAAACCUUGAGGAGGAGCACACUCCCAGGUCCCAAGCCAAUACCACUAGGCCAACCCAAGUGGGUUUGUACUUUUAAAAAUUAAUCACACUUCUCUCUCUUCUAUUUCUCUUAAUUUUAACCAAACAAUACCUUAAAUCUAUUCUAUUUUUCAUUUUUUUCUCUCUUCUCAUACUCUCUCUCACCUAUUUCUCUCUUCUCAAUUUCUUCUUUCAACCAAACACACCCUAAGUAAUUUCGCUGCCCUCUUAUGGAAGGAGGGGCAUUUACUUUACAAGUAAAUAAAGUAUCUUUUUUAAUUUAAAAUUUCCUCUUUAUGGUUUUCUUAACUAAUGUCCUGGGUAGGGCUAGACAAGGACCCGCGACCCGGCCCAACCCGAAAAAACCGAAGAAAAAAAACCGAGCUGAGUGGGUUAAAGCAGGUCCGCGGGUCAAACGUGUCAUAAAUGCGGGUUCACAAGGGUAUACAUGGGCAGAGGCGGGUAACGGACCUUCACCUGCGGGUACCCGAACCCGCCAGUAUUGGAUAAGUAAAAACGACGUCGUUUUGAAGAGUGGGGAGACCACUAACCCUAGAUCUAACCCAUUCAUUUCAUUUCUUCUAAAAAAUUCUCUCAUUCACCUCACACUCUUUCACCUUCCUCUUCAAACCCUAGUGCCGCCGCCGCAUCUAACCACCACCACCACACCAUCAAAUCCUCCUACCAACAUGAAUCACCACUUUCCAACUUGAUUCCCUUUGUUUUACGCCGUUCUCUGUCAAUCCACGCAGAAAAAUGGAGGCAGAUCCUGAAACUCUCUCUCACUCUCAGUAGCUAACACCACUGUAGAACCGUAAAUCGCCGUCGUUUUUGUUUCAUGAAUCACGUCUCUGCUCUGCAUAUGCUUCAGAUCUAAAGGUUAGAUAUUUUGUUUUUAAUCUUUGUAAUUUUUUAUUUUUAUUUAGGGUUUAUGAGUGUCUCACCACAUGCUUUUGUUUUUGUUUGAUGAUUCACAUCCAUGCUCCGCGUAUGCUUCAAAUCUGAAGGUUGGUUUUUGUUACAUUUUUCAUAUUUUGUGCUUUGAUUUUUUCAAUUCUUGCUUCUAACAUUUUUUUUUUGUUUCAAUCUCAUCUCUGCUGCUUAUGCAUUUGCUGAAGAUUUUUUUUUUGUUUCAAUCUCAUUUUCUCAGACCGGCUUAGGAAACUUCCAUAUCACUGAAUAUUUUUCCAGAUCCGAGAGGUAAUCUUCCUUCUUGACAUCUAGAUCUGAGAGGUAAUGAUUUAUCUUAAUAUAUUUAGUUUUGUAUUUGUUGAGUUUAUCUAUGUCUUUGAUGUAUAUUUUGUUGAGUUUAUGCAUGAUUAUUAAUGUCUAUAGCUUCUGACUUGAUUAUGUUUAUGCAUACUUUGUUGAUUCUUAUACUUCUUCCUUGGAGUUCAUUUUUUCUUUGUUUCUUUCUUAUCCUAAUGGUUUGUUGUUUAUCUAUUUAUUUUGUUUGUAGUAUUCUAAUGGUCCAUUAAUUAUCUUGUUUGUAUAGACACAUGAAAACUGAUACUGCUAGUGUGAAUCCUUUGGCUCAAAUUCCAAUUCUAGUGCAAGGCCAAGGACCUGAACAUGCUAAGGUAGUGCUAAAACUAAAGAAAAGAAAACCUGCUAGACCUCCUUCAAUGGUUUGGAGACAUUUUAUGAAGAAAAAAGACACUGCCUUUUGUAACUAUUGCUUCACUUCUUUUGUUUCAAAUGCUUCCAACCAUCGAACUAACAACAUGCUUAAACACAUGAUGAUUUGUCCAAAAACAUGAAGGUAGUUUUUUUAUUACUCUGAGUUAUGUUGAUUUAGUAAUUUUAUUGUAACUUUGUAUUUGAUUUAGUCUAUUUUAACUCUAUUUUGGUAGAUGUCUUUGAUGUUAGUUUGCUAGUGUUAUAUUUUGUGGCUUUGAUUUAUUAGUACUAAUGUAUAUUUUUUAUAUUGUUUUUCACAGGUUAACAAUAUUCUUACUUGCUAUGAUGGUAUCUCUUGAUCUAUUGUGAAUCAAGAUAUACCAAGGAGGUGUUAUUUUUUGUUAUUCAGAUCCAGUUUUAGUAUUAUUAUAUUCAAGACCACUAUAUUUAGUUUUUUAUUUAUUAAGGAUAUGUAAAUUGUUAAACUUAUUUUUAUUGGUUGUGUAAGUUAAAUUAAGGCUCGAUAUCAAAUGGGAAAAUGAGACAUCAUCAUCCCCCUUUAACAAGCUUCUUAAAGGAAAAAAUUUAACAAAAUUAUGACAAUAUGAUCUAAGUUAAAUAAACAUACAAAAUGGUUUAAUACAAGAGAAAAUGAAACACUACAAAAUUUGUUGGGGCAGAAAUUCUAAAUGGCACAUUAAAAAUGAACAUAAAAAAUGGUCCAUUACAGUGAAAUUAAAAAUAAAUCGCAACAAAAUUAAUUGGGCCAGAAAUGGUUGAAUGACCCAUUAAUUGGUCCAACCCGUUUGAACCCAACCGUUUAACCCGUAACCCGAUUCACCCGAACCCAACCAAUCCGACUCCAUUAUUUGGGUAGAAAUGGGUGUGUAUUCUACACCCGCAGGUUGGGCUGGAGUAGAGGUUUGGACCCGAACCCGCCCGAUGUCCACCCCUAGUCCCGGGGCACUGGUUAACAUAAACCUAAAACAAAAAUAGAAAAUAAUGACCUAAGUUUUCUAAUAAUUGAUAUUUUAUUAGCUUAAAACUUUUGUUAUAUCGAUCAUUCCUUUCCACUCUUUGUUCUUGGUUGUGUUUUAAUGAAAAAAAAGAAGUAAAAAUGAACCUUCUAUGAGAGCAAGGAAAAAAUUACUGGUUAAGCCUUAUGACCUUGCACCAACUCUAAGGACAUUAAUUAUGUUAUAUAGCAAGAUAUCCUCUCAUAAAUUGGUGAAAUUGGAAUUCCUAAAGUUUAGUUUCCCUAUAUUAGACGAUCAUAUAUCAAGACAUGGAUAUUAUUUUGCUAACUUUGAAAACAGCAUACAAACCAAAAUAGUACGUAUUAAAAUAAGAGCACCGUCAACAUUUUCUAGCUAAUAAGCUAACUUACUUUAUUCUUUUGUUUACAUUUCAUUUCAAAUUCAUGCCCAACUUGGGACGCAUUGGUCCAAAAAGCAUACUCAUUUAUUCAAUGGGAAAAACUUUUUUUAAUGGGUCUUGCUGACCAUUGCUCGAUGGCAAUGGUUAAGGAAGGCAAAAGUAGCAUGUUUGUAUUGAUUUCAACAACAUUUUGACUUUUAAAAAAUUAAAUUUAUCACUUUUCACCAUUUACCAAUGCUAUAUUUCUAUUUUUAUCCACUUAUCCAAUGCGCCAAACGCAAUGAUUAGCGUUCUCAUUUUUUAAUAAUAGCUGCAAUGUUACAUAAUCGUUUUCACAUCUGUAUACUUAGUUUGUCUUAAAAAGACAGUCACAUUGAAUAUUUAAUUAAAAUUUUAUUUUUAUUCAAUUAUACACUAUAAUUGAUAUUAAGCGCCAUUAAAAAAAUUAUUAAGUGGAUAACAAAUUAUUAUUCACUAUAAUUUUACUAUAAUUAUUAUUCUUCACUUUGAAUUACCAAGGUAAUUUAAUAAAAUUAAUAUUCUAUGUGACGUAUUUGUAAUUACUUCCUAAUUCACGUGAAAUGAUUUACUUUGCUAGUUAUUAGAAUUUUAAUUUAUUAUAAUAUUUUUCUUUUUGCUGUUGGAUAAUAGGUGAAUUAUAAAAUGUGUCAAAUCAUAGUACACCAACCAAGAUGAAUUGUUGAGGUAAAAUGGAUAAAGAAAAAACUAUAUAAAGGGUACUACUAUCUUUCAUAAGAGCAACAACAAAACACACUUUAGGAAAAUAUGAGGUUCCAAAUGGCCUCCAUUACUCUUACUAUUGCAUUCACGAUAAUCUCUCUUAGCCUGCCAUCCCAAAUUUCAGCAAACAAUUACGUCUAUUCAUCUCCACCACCACCAUCUAAGCCAUACAAAUACGCUUCCCCACCACCACCAGUUUACAAGUAUAAAUCACCACCCCCACCUGUCUACUCACCACCUCCACCUGUCUACUCACCACCACCACCAGUUUACAAGUACAAGUCACCCCCUCCACCUGUCUACUCACCACCUCCACCAGUUUACAAGUACAAGUCCCCACCUCCACCCGUCUACUCACCACCUCCCCCGGUUUAUAAGUACAAGUCACCACCUCCUCCCGUCUAUUCACCACCUCCACCAGUUUACAAGUAUAAGUCUCCUCCUCCUCCUGCAUACUCACCACCUCCACCACAUUAUAUCUACUCUUCACCACCUCCUCCUUACCACCACUAAAUGGUGGUUUACGAUAGUAUCCCACGGUAUACUUCUUAUUACAUACAACCCACACAAAAUACUUUUAUAUAAUUCAAUUACAGUGGUUAUAAUAUUAAUCUGAUAAAUAUCUAGUUAGACAUAGCUUCAAAUAAAAAAAUAUUUGGUAACACAUAUAAAUGAUAAAAUUUAGCAGAUAAAAAUUUAAUGAUAUCAUUUAAUAUCUUUUCUUCUUAAAAUUUUAUCAUUUAUGUGUGCACGCCCAAAUAAAGUGUCGUGGCUUUUGAAAAGUUUCUUAUAAACCUUGUGGAAAUAGGUUUAAAUGUGAAAUUACAUAUACUUUUUAAAGUUUUAAUUUAAAAAAUUCGAUUGUUCAAUCUUUUAAAAUAUUAUUAUUGGCAAUUUGAAACAAUAAAGUUGAGACCUGAUGCAGAAGGUGAGUGCAUGAGGUCAACCACUAUAGAUUAUGAUCAUAUUAUAGAACUUAGCUAGAAAAGAAAAAAUAUAGUUAUAUGCUUCUUAUUAAUUUUGUUUGAUUUAAAAUUUCAAGCGAUUAAUAAUCCUAAUAAACAGUUUUAGCUAGAUUGAAUAAUGUUUAAGGCAAAACCAUUUUCUUAAUGAAAGAUAUUGAUAUAUUUAUGUGUGCAUAUACUUUGCAGGGUUUGAGGAAUAUAAUUGAAAUAAAGAGAAGACAGUGCAAAGCAGGAAAGAUGUCACUCUGAUUCAGAAAAUGUCACUCUAUUAUUUUUCAUUUGUUUGUUUUAUGAGAUUAUAUUCUCAUUAUUGUGCUUGAUGUUUGAAUUUAUACUGUUGUAAAGCACUCUGUGUAAUAUUAUUCAAAUAAAUAGAGAACGAUUCUGAAAUUUGUCAUAUUGUAAAGAAUUGGAUAUACCUAAUAUUUGAAUGCAUUUUCGAUCCCUUAACUUUUAAAAAAUUGUGAUUUAUAGAAAUAUAGUCUUUUAACCCUUUAUUUUUAGUAAAAUAUGUUCUUUUGUCCCUCUAUCUUUAGGGAAAUAUGCUAUUUUGAUUUCUUAUUUUUACAAAAAGUAGUAAUUUUGCUUGCUGUUUUAGAACACGUGGUAUCUUCUCAACAGUUUUGCUGCAUUUUGUAAAUUAAAGGUAAAAUAAUUUUUUUUUUUAUUAGAGGAUCAAAAUCGCAACUUUUUAAAAGUUAAAUCAUCAAAAAUACAUUUAAGCCUAUACAUAAUACAUUAUAUGCAAACUUCAAAAACUAUCUAAUUUGAUGGCGGUAUAUGUCAAUCACUUUAUAUCCUAAUCAUCCUCUAUUUCAUGUUGGAUCUGUCUAACUUUUUGAUGAUAUGGAUAGUGGGUCCAAUCAAGGUGAUUCAAUAUCCAACGGAAACGUCUAAACACGUUUUGACUUCCAACAUAAGGCAUUGCCCCUAACUUCGGUUAACAAUAUUGGGUUUCAGUAAUAACAAAGAGACGGCUAGAGUUGUUUAAUAAUAUUUUAAUAGCAUUACGUUACAAAAGGUUAUUGGAGAAUGUAUAUAUAAAAUCUAAUAAACAACUAAAUUAGUAAUAUAAAUAUCCAAUAGUUUAAACUCAAUCCUUUAUUAUCUAAUUUCUUUUCUCAAAUUCACGACUCAUCAACAAGAAGAAUUAUGAGUUUGUCAAAUCAAAUAGGAGGACGAACGAAGCGGAAGCUGGUGGGCAUGUAACGUCUGAGGCUAACGAGGAUUGAGAGUGGUCGCUGGUGCACAAGUUAAGAGGAUGAGCUGCUCCUGACAUCUUCUAGUCAAACCGAAUCACAUUGGAAUGAGAGGAAUCCUGAGACCGUGCAGAUAUGAACUGCAUGAUUGAAGAAAGACUUAUAAAUUUUUUUGGCACUAUCUAUAUCAACAAGAUGCAUCUUCUUUUUUAUAAUUCAUUCCAUAAGAACUCCACAGUUAAGCAUGUUUGACAUGGAGCAAUUUUAGGAUGGAUGACCUUUUAGAAAGUUUUCCAGAAAACGUGUGAGUUUGGACAAAACACACUGAAAAGACUCAUGUUGGUUUUGGGGUCAGUCGGUCAGCAAUACUUAAAAUCGCCUCAAUAUUAUAAGAAACAUAAUAAAUAAUAUAAAGUUCUAACACUGCCCCUCAAAUGAAAGAUGGAAUGAUAUUGAAGUGAAAACUCGCGCUAUAUUGAGUGAAAUUUUAUAAACUUUCAGUCUUUAUUUCUGUCAAUGUUAGUUUUUUUGGUCAUCUAACUCAAAUUUGAAAAUUUUCCUGUUAUCUUGAACAGUUUCUAGUUCACUUUGUUAAGUUACUACAACUAAUAAAAAUACACUGAAUUUUCAAUCUAGAGACAUAAUUCAGUUUAUUUUGAUGAGUAGCAAAUUUUUAUUCUUUUUGAAAUCAUAAAAUCCUGAUCCUUCACUUUUACUCAAAUUAUAUAUGUCCGUUGUCUUAAGAUAGAUGGACAUUUAUAUGAAAGUCUUGGUUUGAUUCAAGUUGAGUAAAAUAUGGUCAAAUUUGGGGAUUAAAAAUACAUAGUAUUUAUAUUUUGCUUAUGUCAUAUAAGCUGCUAUGAUCUAUUUCCUCUCACUUUUAUAGGUCUUGGUGUUGAAUAAGAAACUAAGAUUUUAAAUUGUAGUUGAUUCGCGGAAUGAGCAAAGUGAUCCUAGUGAGCUAGUUUCAAAGGGUUGUGAACUACAAAGUUUGAUGGGCGAACCAGAGGUGAGGUCAAAGAAAGGAAUUGAAGAGGGUUUCAUGGAAGAAGCAAGUGAACAUUCGAUAGGCAAACAACAUUUCUCCUAGCCAAGUAAGGCGGUGUUAGUGACCCUUUGUGUUGUGAAUUCGAUGAAAAAUCACACCAAUAACAACUUGAUGUGUGGAGCAAGGGAUAAUUAAGCAACCAAAAUCAAAGCGUAUGAAAGUUAUAAAUACAAGCCAAAAGUAGAAAACAACGGCGAGAAGAACACAAAGAAGAAGAAGAACACAAAGAAACUUGUUGACCCAGUUCGGUCCAAUCUGACCUAGUCUGGGGGAGAGAGCAGCCCUCCAAUCCACUAUAUGAUGAGUUUCGUUACAAAGAGAAAUCAAUGGGUUACAAGAAUAAGUCUCCCGAUUAAUUCUACUCAAAGUCCCAAUCUCUUCCCGUAACCAAGAGACUCCAAUCCUAAUAGUGUUUCCCAAGGUGAAUCAACCCACAAACCCUAGUGUUUGCUCCUAAGAGACAAACUCUAUACAAACCCUAGUUUUGUUGUUGCUUUUCUAAACCCUUGUUUCAGCCCCCUCUAUCUCAAAGUUUGCUUUGAUACAAGGUCUAUAUUUAUAGUAAAAGUAUAACUCAUAAAUUUGGAACAAAUACCACACUGAAGAUUCGUUUUUUUUUUCUCCUUCAGUGAAAGAAUAUUUGCAUCAAAAAUAUAAUAUUCCCUUUCAAAAUAUAUUUGCAUCAAAUCGUUCUUCAUACGAUACAAAAAUAUAUUUAUUGUCCAUAAAUAUAUUUUCAGCACAAUAUAUAUUUGAAACAAAUCUUUUAUAUUUUUAGCAACAAUAUUCUCCAUCCAUCAAUUUUUGAGUCAUACUACAACACUUUGGAUGAGCUCGCUUUUCCCUCCACCUGAAGAAACUUAAGAUCGCUAGACGAGCAAAUUUUUCUAGGAAAAUAUGCACUUUUUUUACUUAUAUAUAAAUAGAUGUAAUACACAAUUCAGAGAUAUCUUACGCAUCUUAAACUUGUUGUUAGAGAGAACGGAGAGGAGAACAUAGAUUCAUCAUUGCAGAAUUUAUCAAUUCUUUUAUUUCAGGCUCUAGGUGCUUGUUUCAAACCAUAUAAGGCUUUGCUCAAUCUGAACACUCUAUCUUUCGUCCCUUUGAUUGUGAAACUAGGUGGUUGAGUGACAUACACAGUCUCUUCUAAUGUACCAUUCAGAAAUGCAAACUUUACUAGUUGCUAAUACUAUAACCAAUCUGAUAGUUUCAUGUCUUGCAUCUGGUGAGAAAACUUUAGUGUAAUCAAAACCUUCCUUCUAAAUAAACCUCUAGCCAAAAGCCUUGCUUCGUGAUUCACAAUCUUCCCUUCUUGAUUAAAUUUUAACUUGAAAACCAAUUUUAUAUCUAUUGCCUUUUUUCCAUCUCGAAGCUUUAUCAGUUCACAAGUCUGACUCUUCUCAAUAGAUUUUAGUUCACCUAUCAUAGCUUCCUUUAAUGCCUUAUCACAUAGUGCAGCUAUGUAAUCUAAUGGCUCGAUGUCUGCUAGCAUUGCAAAAUGCACCAAUUAACCAUCACUAGUUCAUCAUCACCAGUUACCUGACAGUCUUCUGAACUUCUUGGAAUUUGUCUGUUUCUUUGUGGUCUGGCUAUAGUGGUUGACUCUUCAUCUAUGAUUUCUUCAUCAUUAGCAACUUCAUUUAUGGUGAGCUCAUCAGAUUCUCUAUUAUCUUCAAUGAUAACCUCCUUCUCAGAGACACUGCACUUAUUUGCAGUACAAUCCCAAUAUUCAUCUAUUUAAGAUGAAUAUUGGGAUUACACUAAAGUUUUCAGGGAUAUGCUUAUAGCAUAUUGAGCCAAAUACCUUCAAAUGACUGACAUAUGGUUUUCUACCUGACCAAACCUCUUCAGGCACUUGAUUCUUCAAUUUCUUAGUGGGACAUCUAUUUAAGAUGUAAGCUGCAAUAUUCCCUACUUUACCCCAAAAUUCAUGAGGUAGCUUCUUCUCUAUCAGCAUAAUCCUAGCCAUAUCAAGUAAACUCUUAUUCCUCCUUUCAGCAAUACCAUUGCGUUGAGGAGUGUAAGGAGUUGUCACUUCAUGAACUAUACCCUGACUUGUGCAGUAAGAUUCAAAAUAUCUAGAAGUAUAUUCACCACCUCCAUCUGUUCUGAGAAUAUUCACCACCUUCAAAUCUUACAAAGAAUAUGAGAUGGUAGAAUUAUGAGAAUUUUCUCCAUGAUUGCUUUAUCAGAAAGAGUCUCACAACAUAGCUUCAUCUGAUUUGUGAUUGUUUGAAUUGAUUAGAAAUAUUCCUCUAUGUUCUUUUCUUUCUUCAUCUUCAGCAAUUCAUAUUGUCUUCUCAAUGAUUGCAAUCUUAUCUUCUUCACCUUAUCAUCCCCACUGAAGUAUUUCACAAGUGUAUCCCAAGCUUCCUUAAAGCUUUUUGCAUAUGCAAUCUUUUCAAAUACCUUGUUAUCCACGCAUUGAUGAAUAUAAAAGAGAGUCUUGAAAUCUUUCUUGUUCUUGGCUUCUUUAUGCGCAUUCCUUUGAAUUUAUGUGGGAUUUGCAGGAAGUGCUUCAACUUCAUUGUUGACAAUCUCAAGAACAUCUUGAAACCCAAAGAUCACCUUCAUCUGUUUCACCCAUCUUUGCCAAUUCUUCCCAUCAAGAACUGGUAAAUGUGCAGAGAUGUUUCCAUUGGAAUUCAUGGUUAACUCUCUUCUUCUUGGAUCAAAAAAUGAUUAUGCUCUGGAUACCAAUUUGUUGGUGAACAAAUUGAUCUAGGGUUUAUGUGUUUUGUGUGAUUGAAGGAUAAGAAACAGUUUUAGAGAAUGAAAAAGAGAGAAAGAGAUUGGAGAAUUAAAACUGAAUGCAUUGGCUUUAUUAAAUGAGGAACCAAGUAUAUAUACAACAUGUUCUAGCUAUAGCUUGCAUUACAAGUAAAUGCUAAUUGUCUAACUAACUUUCUAAAAACAAGGUAAAGUAGUUACUUAGGUAGCAAGGUAACUAACCCUAAAUCAAACUAUGAGUUUUGAAUUACAAAUUCAACACUCACAAGGGCAUGGUGGCGGAAACUCUAACCCUAGGAGAGCAAGAAAUUUCUUGAGAGGUUUUGAUUUUGUCUAAAAAAAUUUAUAUAAUCUCUUGGAUGUUGAACUCUAGGACGUUACAUAUCUUAUUUACCGAAACCAUUUGAUUAUGAUAUGUGCCAAAAAUAUUUAUAACCAAAUGCAAUAAAGUAAAUACAAAAUAUACAAUAAAUUACACUAGAAAAUAUUCAAUAAAUUACACUACAAGUUAAUAAUAAUGUUAAUUUGCAGACACUAAUAUACGUUUUGUUCCGUUCUGCUUAAUUUGCUCUAUCCAAGAAAAUAAUGAAGUUGAGAUAUAUUCAUAUGAGUGUCUGAUGUGUUGGUCUAUGGUUAUUUAGAUUUUAGACUAUUUUGCAAAGCAUAAGAAAUAAAUAAAAACAAACUAAAAGUCUGAUAUUAUAAAAAUCUGGUUUUUAAAAAAGGCUAAAAGUAUAUUAUUUUAUAAUUUUAUGUUUUAAAGUGUUGGUUGUAAAUACCAAAGUAAGAAAAAACUCAUAAACAUCACAUACAAACCCGCAUAUUUAAACCGCAUAACCUACGAUUAAGCAAUCCACCUUAUGUGAACCAAAACGAAAAUGGUGUGAAACAUAUUGGUCUUUAUCCACCUUGGGCCGCGAGUUAAACUAGUUGGUUUGCAGCCCCGGGCCAUAUUCACAACUCCUAUUUUUGUAUAGUUUUUAUUUGAAACAUUAGAAAAUUAAGCGUCAAACCAACAUAAUAUUGAGAGAGUUGGUAACAUGACUCUUCCUCAUAAAAAAAAAAAAAAUUGAAUUUCAUUCUUAAAAUCGUCUAUUUGAAAUUGAGCGAACUUAACCCGUUCAAAGAUCAUAUGUCUUCCUAUCAAGCUAGGAAGGUACCUUGAAAUGUUGUUAAUUAUAAUUAUGAUUAAGAUAUGCUAGAAGAAAAAAUUGAGGGCCAAGGGCAAACUGGCUCAUUUAAUAGAUAAAUAGACUUUAAAGCAAUUGGUAUACAAAUCCAAGUCACACCUCAGCAAGGAAGUUAAAGUCAGCCUUUAAUUGUUAGCAUUCACAUAUAUAGUAAAGACUUUUGGUUUAAAUUAGGCAAUUGUACCACAUCAAGAACAUUUAGAAGAUGCCAAAAAAUAAGACUAAAUAAUACAAAGGCUUUGAUGAUUCGAACUAUUUUGACUCUUUGUGUAGAUUUUAGGUAUGUUUGGUGGGUAACGUACAACAUUCAAUCAUUCCCAUCAAAUAAUUAAAUGAAUCUCACACUUAAUAUAAAUUUAAGAAUCAUAUCUUGUUCAUGAUCAUAUACAAUCUAUAGUGGUGUAUGCCUAUAAUAGUGUCAUGGUAGGUAUCAUAUUAGCUUUGUCGCUACUGAAGUAAAAUAAUUGUUUGACCUAAAAUAUUACCACUGUCGCUCUGUAAAAAAUAUAAUAUAGAAACAAUAUUCUUGUGAGGUGAGGAUUACCCCCACUUAUAAAUACAUUGUCAGGUCAUGUUCUAUCUGAUAUGGGACGCUUAACAUCUUAGAAAUCGUGGUUUGGGCCUAACACAACAUCACAAAACGGACUUGUGAGGUGAUGAUUGCCCCCACUUAUAAACAUAUUGUCAGACCAUAUCUUAUCCGAUGUGGGACUCUUACGUACACAAAAUUAGCAUAUUACAUAGGCUACAUAAUUUUUUAAUACAUGUAAAAUUAGCAUAUUGCAUACAUCUAGAACUAUGUUUACAUUUCAACAACGUUUAUUUAUUUUCUUACUGCAAGUGACGGAAACAGAAAAAAAAAAAAAAAAAAAAAGUUUAAGUAUAGGAUGCUCUAUUGCGGAUGGUCUUAGUCUUCCCAAGAAUCAUCAUAUUUUUUAUAAUAUCUCCACCAAGUAUGUCUUUAUAUACUUGUGUUAGUACAAUCAAUCAAUGUCGUAAUUUUUUUUUUUCUAACAGUCGACAUUGUCUAUCCAUUUAAAUAUUUUUUUUCAAUACCAAAAAAAAAAAUGAUCUUUCCUAAAAAAGACCUUAAAUUUUUUUUAGAGAAAAUAGCUUAUAGCUUUUCAUUAUUAAUCAAUGUCAAAAUACUAAGAGGUACAUCAUUAAAAACUUGGGAACUAGGUAAGAAUAAAGCCUCUCUAGCAAGAGUAUGAGCGACCUCAUUCGCUUGUCUCCAACUAAACUCCAUCUUAAAGUUUUCAGAAACAUUGUUGUUGCCUUUGGUAAAAUAAUCUACAACUAACUUCGCAUCCAUCUCAAAAUCUACAUUUGUAAGUUGUAGUUCGUGUACCCAUUGAAUUGCAUAGAGUAGACCUAAUACUUCCCCAAUCUCUGGCUUACAUAUGGGAUUAGACCACAUCAUCUUUGCCUUCCUGAAAUUACCAGCAGCAUCCCGUAUACACAGCCCAACACUACUAAAAAAAACAAAAAUUAGUGAGGGAUAUUUAGUGAGGGAAAAUAUGAAAUCCCUCUCUAAUUCCCUCACUAAAUUUUACGACCAAGGAAUUUGUGAGGAAUUUCAUUUUUUCCGUCACUAAUUUCCCUCACUAAUUUUGCUUUUUCUAGCAGUGCAAAACCAACACGAUUUGAAUCUUCCGAAAACGCCGCGUCGAUGUUGCAUUUUAGCUUACCAGCUGCACUACACUUCUGCUUCCUCAUAUUUCCUCAUAGUCUGGCAUGUAAACAAUGUGUUGCUUAAUAUAACAAUUUUCUAUAUAUGGCUGCCAGAUUUGCUCCCCUGGUGAUUAGACAGUAAACAAUAAAAAACGUUACACGCAAUUUCAUGGUUGGUUCAAUAUUUUGUUGUCCAGCUAAGUUAUAACAUAGUUUCAAAAAAGACAAUUUGUUAUUCAAAUUUGAAAAUGAUGCAAUGAUAAAGACAUUUUAUCACCUUAUCAUUAAAAAAACACGUGUAAUAAUCACUUAAACACAUGGACAAAUAAAAUCACGUAAGCAAUCUUGAUAUUAAUUAACGAAGGUUGACUCAGUUUAUAAGAAAUUGAUUCAUCUGUACGCCAUAGAUUCAACAUUUAUUGUCAAUGUAAAUAUCUUUUUUGUAAAUGAUAUGUAAAUACUUCUAUAAACAUUAUUUAAAUCUUGAAAUAUGCCUUAACUAUAAUGAAUUUUUGGAGGGUAACCUAUCAAAAUUUAUUUAUAUAAUAAAUAAAAGGUAAAUAUUUUGGCUAGGAAAAACCAAUGGUAGGAAAAAAAAUUACAUGUUGUGAUGUCAUGGAAGUCGAUGUAUGAGUAAACCUAGCUACUUGCUGGAAAUGAAAUAUGUUAAAGAUCUUACACACUGAAAGGAUCAAAUAUAUGUUCCUUUCGCACGAAUAGUUCUCUCUCUUUCUUUUUUCUUAAAUCAUAGCCGUCACAACUUUUAUUCUUUUUGGUGUACAAAAAGAAUUGAUUUAGGAUCAAUUACGAUCCAUAAUCACCCCUUUAAAUUGUUAUUCUUUCUCUUUUAGCAAAGUAAGUGAUUUUCACAUAAUUUUCUUUCCUUUGUUUUUGUGAUUUUGUCGUAUAACACGAUUUUGUUUAUUUUGAUUUCUCGUAUUUAUGCAGUGUUUUUAAUUGUUAGCUUUCACAUAUAGCAAAAACUUUUGAUUUAAGUUAGGCAAUUGUACUACAUCAAGAACAUUUAGAAGAUGCCAAAAAAUAAGACUACACUAUGCAAAGGCUCUGAUUGGAACUAUCUUGACUCUUUGUCUGGAUUUUAGGCAUGUUUGGUGGGUAACCUACACCAUUCAAUCAUUCCCAUCACAUGAUUAUUAAAUGAAUCCCACUUACUAAAAUUGAGAAUCAUAUUAGCUUUGUCGAUACUGAAGUGAAAUAAUUGUUUGACCUCAAAAAAUAACAUCCGUGUAUAAAAGGAUAACAGAGAAACAUUCAUACACAAAAUUAGCAUAUUACUUUCACUAAAAAAAUUUUAGGCUUAAUACAUGCUUUCGUCCCUUAACUUAUUUUUGAAUUUCAUUUUGGUCCCUUAACUUUAAACCGUCUCAAUUUGUUCUCAUAACUUUGCCUCCGUUUACAGAAGGGACCACUUAGGUAAACGGAGGCAAAGUUAUGGGACCAAAUUGAGACGGUUUAAAGUUAAGGGACCAAAAUGAAAUUAAAAAAUAAGUUAAGGGACCAAAGCAUGUAUUAAGCCUUAAAUAAAUUAUACUAAGAGGAUAUUUGUCAAAGAUACAUAUUUUUAUUGAAGAAAAAAAUAAUAUUACAAAGCAUGAAAAAAGCCCAAUAAAUAAAAUGGUUGAACAGUGUUGGGAAAAAUAUUGCAAGAUAAAAUAAUAAAUAUAUUACAACAUCAACAAAACUCGUAAAAUAGUGUGAGAAUAUAGGAAAUUUUUCCAUGACAAUAUAGGAGGUGAACAAAAUAAAUUAUGUUAAAAUUAAAUUAGAAAGUAAUGAAAACUUUGGUAAAAUAAAAAGUAAUAAAAACAAGCAAAUCUCUAAAAAAAAGUAAUAAAAACAAACAAAUCCCUAAAAAAAACAUAUAAAAUAUUUGGACUAUAAAAUUAAAGUAGAUAUGAAUUAUUUGUUGAGAUGUUUAUGUCAAAUAGAAAAAUGAGUUUUCUAAAAAUAAAACAUAAAUGUUAAUUUCAUUGGAACACCAACAAAAUAAAAAUUCAUAGGGAGGUAGUUCUAUUGCAUCAAAUAGAUCUAUUAUGAGAUAAAAAUAAAUGAACAUCAUAAUAUUAUUUUUAGUAAAUGUAAAUUAAUGUAUCACUCAUUUUUUAUAGAUUAGAAAAAUGAUUUUGACAUUCUAUAAUUUAGAGAUUAUUUUUUAAAGACUUUAUUAAAAAGUAUAAUCAAUUUUGUGUUUAUUUUUCAGAAUAACAAUCACUUCUUUGAAAAAAAAUAUAUGUUAAUUUGAUACAAGGCUUAAUAAAUGCUUUGGUCCCUUAUUUUUGAAUUUCAUUUUGGUCCCUUAACUUUAAACCGUCUCAAUUUGGUCCCAUAACUUUACCUCAGUUUACCUAAGUGGUCCAUUCUGUUAGUUUUUUUAACAGAAGGGACCACUUAGGUAAACGGAGGUAAAAUUAUGGGACCAAAUUGAGACAGUUUAAAGUUAAAGGACCAAAAUGAAAUUCAAAAAUAAGUUAAGGGACUAAAGCAUGUAUUAAGCCAAAAAUUUAUUACGUGUUCUGGAUCGAUCAAAAGAUCAAUCCCAUGUUGACACGUGACCUAAAUUUGCACUGCCUUAAAGCUCCGCGCUUGAAGGAGCAUGCCAAUUUUAGUACACCGCGUCACGUUCAAGCACGCCUCGGCGUGAGGUCACCUUACACGUGUUCUCUAACUGUCUCCUGAUCACAUGCUGCAAAACUCGAAGACAUCUCCACGAGUGCGUGUAUAAGGGUGACUUAACUUCACCCUCAAAGUAUGAUUCACUUUUCACAACACUUUCUACAUACUCUUUCAAAGGAAUAAAAAAAACAUUUGUUACAACUAUUUUUAUUUAAAGAAUCAUAGGUGCGGGAUGAAAUAUUAAAAAGUUAUAAUCACUUAAUAAAAUAGAAAUCGAUCCUCACUGAACCGACGUGGACCACGAUUGAUGACCAUAUAUAGUUGAUGAAACCCAGAGAUGGGGGGUGGUUGUCUCCGCCACUGAUAUAGUAACAAAAUAAAGGUUUAAUUGCACUUUUGGCCCCCUAUGUUUCAAGAAGUUGCGAUUUUGACCCCCUAACUAAUUAAAAUACAAAACAUCAUUGAGCUCAGCCACCUCCCAUCUCUGGGCUUCAUCAACUAUACAUGGUCAUCAAUCUUGAUCCACGUCGGUUCAGCGAGGAUCGAUUUCUAUUUUAUUAAGUGAUUAUAACUUUUUAAUAUUUCAUCCCGCACCUAUGAUUCUUUAAAUAAAAAUAGUUGUAACAAAUGUUUUUUUUAUUCCUAAAUUCAAACCUCUGAACUAACGUACACUAAUCUUUUCCCUCAUGAACAAAUAGUACAAUAAUCCUCAAGAAGAAGCUUCUUAGUCUUCCUAAGGCGUGUUGUAGAAAUUAAAUUAACAAUAAUAUUUUCACUCAAAGCUCGUCAUGUUUUUUAUAAUAUCUCCAUCAAGUAUGUAUUUAUAUACUUAUGUCAGUACAAUCAAAUUCGGUCCUCGUGAGCAUAGCUCAGUUGAUAUGGACAAUGCAUAAUAUAUGUAAGGUUUGAAGUUUAAAUUCCGACAACCACAAAAAAAAGAGUACAAUCAAACUCGAAUCUGACAUCUCAUAAUUGUGAUUGCGUGUAUGUAAAUUUAAAAGGUGGUGAUAUUUGUGAGAUCUUUAUUUUUCUUUCUUUUUAUUGGUUUAAAACAAUAAAGAAAAAAAUGAAGAGAAAGAAUAAGAAUAUAAUGCGAAUAUAAAAGAAAAUUGUUGAAAAAUUGUUACAAAAUAAAUGUUAAAAUAUCAUUUCUUAAAUCUAAAACGUUGCUCGUCACUUUUUCUACAUGUCAAAGUUGAAUCUUGUGAAGAAGUGAUUGUCCCAAAAAUAAUAUUUUAUUAGCAACAGUACUAGCAUCAAAUAUUUGUCAACAAAAAUAAAGUACUAGCAUCAAAUAAACUAACGUGCUACAUAUGAACAUAACCUCAAAUAUUGACUAGCUCCAUGCAUAUACUUUUCCCACGUUAAAAAAAAAGCCUAAUCAAAUUUCUAAUAACAAUUCUAAAAUUACUAUACACUCUUUCCAUAGACAUCAUUAUUGAUGAUUGUGGACAUGACCCCACAAUAUUAAUUUUGGUACAUGCAUAUAGCUCGAGAUACAUUUUUAAGAGAAAUAUAAUUUGUAUGAUAAUUUCACGACAAUUUUUAUGAUAAUUUUUUUUUUCUCACACUCAUGUUGUAUUUUUGUUCUCUCAUUUCAUAUUUCUUUGUCUAUUGCUUUUUUCCUAAAAAAAGAAAAAAAAUGAUUCUCCCAAAAAUACUUGUACAAAUAUCCACUCUUAGAAAAAGUAAAAUUAGGAAGAGAAAUUAGUGACGGAAAACAUUAAAUUUCUCACAAAUUCUUAAAUCGUAAAAUUUAGUGACGGAAUUAGUGAGGGAUUUCACGUUUUCCCUCUUAAAAUUUUCCUCACCGUUUUUUACUUUUAGUAGUGAUCAUUGAUAAAUUUUUAAUUCAUCUAUUGAGGAGGAACUAAAUAACCAUUUGUGUAAAUCUUUUCUUUUUUUAUAUCUAACAGGGUGAUUUAUAAGAAGAAGAGUCUGAACAUUUCGAUGAAGAAAAUCUAUAGAAAAGAAUUAAUUUAGUUAAAAGUGAGCCAACUUGGUUUUACUCCAAAAAAAUAUUCUUUAAAAUUUUUGCUCAUUCAAAAUCUAAAAUUGUUGUUUUCAAACGUAUAAUUUAGCAACUGAUUAUUAAGCAUUAGGAAAAAGCCCAUGCGACAGUAAAAAAUUGGACGCUAACAUGUCAAUUAGCGUCAACCUAGUGUGAGGCUCGUGGUUGACAAUAAAAUGCUUGAAGCUAACCAUUUGUGUCUGCAAUCCUGAAGCAAUUUGUAAGUAAUAUCGUAGACCAAUUUAAAUUUUUUAAGCUAAGCAUUAGCGUCUGCAAUAUCGAGGCUACAUCGCGUGCGCUUAGUGUAGGUCAAUUUAAAUUUUUAAAAUUCUGUAAAAGCAUUGACUAAAGGGGUUGGCCAACAAAAUAAAACAUAUUAGAAAUAAUUAACAAUCCAUUAAAGAUAGAAAAAAAAGUAAAAUAUAUAUACAAAGCAAAGCACAUAUUUGAGACAAGCAUCAAAUGUAAUAAAAAAAAUGCUACUAUGUUAUUUAUCCCAAAAAUAAAAUUAAAACAUCUUACAAUCAUGUGCAACAAACUUCUUUCUAUUGCAAUGGAGUCAACAUGUGUUAAACCAAAUAAACCAAAUAUUUAGAUGAUCUCCUAAAUAUUUUCUCUACAUCUAAGAAAAGAAUGUUCCAAAAUCUUGGCUAUAUUAAAGUUGAUAGGGUGGAAAUAUAAAUCUUGUUCAUUUUCGUUUUGGUUUUAAGCACAUCCUCUUUGUUUGAUUUCAACCUACUCAAACAAGCACAAUAAGCUUCAACAUUGUCAAUAAAGAAAGCACACACAAUUACAAAAUAUGUCAUAUAUUAGUCUACAAGAUAUGAUGAUUUUUUUUCGAUGUUGACCAAGCUAAUUACAUUUUAAUAAAAAUAAUUCUAUCAAUGAAAUUAUUAUGACAUCUCUCUUUAUCAACCUAAAAAAGUUUUUCAAAGCAAAGCAGAGGGAGUUCUUCCUACUCAUGUCGAUUAAUCAAGUCAAAAAGCUAAAAAAAAAAAAAAAAAACCAUUACUACAAUAAAGGAGAUUUCACCUCGGUUGAAAUGAAGUUUUCACAUUGCACCGUUCAUGAGGUAAGGUGGUGUGGUAUGUCUAACACUAUUUACAUCGGGCACAUCAGGUUGGUACCCAAUGUGAUAAGUACUUUUCACAUCGUUUUAUCACCGGAUGUGAAAUCCCUUUUAUAAAUUAGAACAUGUGAUUUACAUUUCACAUUAACUUUCACCUCAAGUGAUGUGAAAUCCAUUUUUCUAAAUGGUACAUUUUUAACCAACUUAAAAUGUCUAAUUUUUUAUAACAAAUAUAUAUUUUUAACCGACUUAAAAUAUAAAUUCAUGUGCUCUAUGAAACUGACACUCACUAAAUUGAAUUAAACAACUCCAACAUUGAUACGACAAUCAUCACUAGCAUUUAACUCCACAACCUCAAAUUUAUAGAUCAGAGGGCCUAUAAUACAUGGUAGUUACAAAUUAUCAACAAUUGGACGAGAUUAAAUAUAUACAAUAUUGUUUAAAAUAUAUGAAUUCAAAGUCAUAGUAGCAUAAAAAAUAAGAAGGGGUUAAAUUGGAAGGGUAUUGACUACAAAUUAACAAAUCAGAAAAUCAAUUUGAAAAGAGUAAGAAUACUAAUUUACUUAACACAAAAAAAUAGAUCCAAAGCAUAUUAUGAUGACUAUUGACUAUAAUCCCCAUUACAUAAGAAAUACCCAACAAAUAUCAAAAAGAGAGAUCUAACUUUCUAUCUCCAUUUUGAUUAUAAUGAGUUCACAAACAAAAUUCCCUAAGAAACAAUAGAGACCAUCAGAAAUCAUAAGCAAAAUGUUCUAAAAGAUAACAAACUCUAAAAGCUAAAGAAUAAAAACAUAAAAUUGCAACUAAUAGAGAAAAGAAACGAUUUAAUUCAUAAGAGAAGAGAACAAAGGAGUUGAAAAUAUAAAAUAAAGAUAUUGAUUCAAGAACAAAGACGAUUUUACCUCUGAACAACUUGAACAAAGCAACAAACAACGAAGGGCAAGAACAUAGACAAUUUUGGGUAUGAAAGGUUUGUAUCUGAGUGAAGCAGCGAAUGGUUUGCCUCUGAACGGUGAAACAACGAAGCUCUAAACAUGGAGGACGACUUGGCUCAUAAUGAGUCUAAUUUUUUUAUUUUUUCUGGAUCUGAGUUUUUUUUUCCCAGAACUUUAUGGCUUUGAAGGUUUUUUAAUGAAAGUGUGAAAAGAAAAUAUUGGGAAAAAAAAGGUGAGGGAAAUCUUAAAAUAAAAGUAGGAAAGAAAAGGGAAAUUGAAAAAUAAUGGAUAAUUUUUUUUUUAGCUUCACAGAUAAUCGAUGCUAUUUAAAAAUAAAAUAAAUAGUUUUAGAAUAUAUUGACGCUAAUUAAAUAAUUAAAUUAAAAUAUAAUGAAUUGAAGAAAGCGUUAGAAUUUGUGGAUGCUAAUUAGACGCUGUUAGCAUCAGAAAUUGUCUCACGCUAAAAUUUAUGAAGCUAGAUUGCAAUUUUUUUGUAAUAUGUGAAAGGGUACCAUAGAAGUUCCCUUUUUAUUAUCUUUGGUGGAAACUCCCAACAAAUUUGAAAUAAUGUUACCCGAGAGGGAUACAUAGAACCUGUAAAAAUUUGCUUUUGGACGCAUUCACCACAUGUCCCGAAGCCUCGGAAUAAGAGUCAAAUAUUCUCAUAAGGCAGCAUACAUUCUUAUUUGGUACGUUUACAAAAAAAAUUAGAAUAUCGUCUGUGCAUAUGUUGGCCAGCUUGCCGAGCAAGAGUAAUCGAACGACUAAGAACCUCUUUUGCCAAACAAAAAUAAAAGAGGGGAUAGAAGGUCCCCCUGACGAACACCCCGCCCGCACACAAGAGAAGAAGCCCAUCGCUUUACCAUUCACCAGAAUAAAAAGACGCGCAGAGUGCAAAAUAUAGAAGAAAACCUGCAGGAGAAAGCCAGGCUAAAACCAAACUGAUGGAGCACAGCUAGCAAGAAAUUCCAAUCUAAAGUAUCAAAUGCCUUUCUGAUAUCAAGCUUGAGCGCUAAAUUACCCCCAUAUUGAUUACGAUUCAGAAGGUUAAUAGCCUCAGAAGCUAUAGUAAUACAUUCUGAAAUGUAUCGAUCACGAAUAAAGCCACGCUACUCCAAUCAGAUUAGGUAGAAGCUCUCCAAGUCUCCCCUAUUAUAUAAAUCCUUAACCUACUUAUUUUCUCUUAUUUCCAAAUCUGCCCUCCAAGUCUCAAUAUUCUAUUCUAAUAUAUUUCUAUAACAUAUAAGAAAUAUAUCUCUAUAACAAAUAUAUUUCUAUAACACAUAUAUUUCUACACCAAAUAAGAAAUAUAUUUCUACACCAGAUAACAUAUAUAUUUCUACACCAAAUAACAAAUAUUUUACACCAGAUAACAUAUAUAUUUUUACACCAAAUAACAUAUAUAUUUCUACACACCAGAUAACAUAUAUAUUUCUAUACCAAAUAACAUAUAUAUUAUACUAAUAAAUACCAACAUAUAACAUAACAAAAUAUCACUCAUCAAAAUAAAUCGACUAAAUUAUAAAAAGACAUCUAAACUCAAUAAAAUAAAUAAAUAAUAAAAUAGGACGUUACAGGAUCUGGGUUUUAUUUUUUUCUUUUCAGAACUUUAUGCUUUUGAAGGGUUUUUAAUGAAAGUGUGAAAAGAAAAUAUUGGAAAAAAAAAAAGGUGAGGGAAAUCUUAAAAUAAAAGUGGGAAAGAAAAGGGAAAUUGAAAAAUAAUGGAUAAUUUUUUUUUUAGCUUCACAGAUAAUCGAUGCUAUUUAAAAAUAAAAUAAAUAGUUUUAGAAUAUAUUGACGCUAAUUAAAUAAUUAAAUUAAAAUAUAAUGAAUUGAAGAAAGCGUUAGAAUUUGUGGAUGCUAAUUAGACGCUGUUAGCAUCAGAAAUUGUCUCACGCUAAAAUUUCUGAAGCUAGAUUGCAAUUUUCUUGUAGUGAUAUGUGAAAGGGUAAUGGUAUUUUUAUUACCUUUGGUGUAAGCUAGAUAUCCUCCGCAUGCAAUUGGAAAAACUAAUUCCUCAAACCUUCUGAGAAUCAAAUGAACGGAAAACUCUCCAUUAAAGACAAUGAUAUUUGAACAAUCAUAUACCUUCAAUACAUUGAUAUGAUAUUGAGUAGCCCAUUUUAGCAAGUAAGUUGUAAUAUAAUUAUAAUAAUAGUAAUAGCAGAAGACAAAAAUAAUGAUUUUAAUUGUGAUAAAUUAGUUGCAUUAUGUGUUAGAAAUGAUAAAAUUGAUAAAAUACUAAUUCUUGAUAAUUUAUCAAUAUAAAAUUCUAAAUUUUUAUUUUAUCGUGCAAAACAAUAGACUAUUAAAAGGUUAGAUUAACUCUAAUAUUUAGAUUUCUUAAUUUAUUUAUUAGUGGAUAAAACAGAAAAAUGUUCUGAAAAUUAUUGAGGCAGCUGUGUGAGAAAACAUAUGAUACAUGUAUAAUUUUUCAAAGUUUGUUAAGGAGAAAGGACAGAUUAAUUUGAUCAAAUACCCAAUAAUUAAUUCAUCAAUGACUACGCGUAUAUUGAAUUUUACUUACUUUGAAAUAGCUUACAAAACAAAAAUAACAAAAUAAUUUUUUUGAAAGAGAUAUAAUAAAAUAAUUAUUGGUCCAUACUUACUAUAAAGAAAAUAAGAGCAGUGUCAACAUUUUCCAGCUAAUAUGCUCACUUACUUUAUUCCUUUCUUUACAUUUCUUUCAUGAAUAGCCAACUUGAUUCGAAUUGGUCCAAAAAACAUGCUCACUUAUUCAAAGGCAGGCCAUUAUUUUUUAAUGAAAUUAUAUGCUUGUAUUUUGAUAUAAACUUUUUUUAUAAACAUUCUGCUAAAGAAAACUAGGUAAAUUGUAAUAAGGACACCAACCAAGAUGAAUAGUUAAGGUAAAAUGUGUAAAGAAAAAACUAUAUAAAGGGUGAUGCUAUCUUUCAUAAUAGCAACAACAAAACACACUUUGGGAAAAUAUGGGGUCUCAAAUGGCCUCUAUUACUCUCACUAUUGCAUUGGCAAUAAUCUCUCUUAGCUUCCCAUCUCAAAUUUCAGCAAACAAUUACAUCUAUUCAUCUCCACCACCACCAAAGCCUUACUACUACCACUCUCCACCACCACCAGUGCACUCCCCACCUCCUCCUUACCAUUACAGUUCACCACCACCGCCACCAAAGAAGGAAUACAAAUACCCUUCUCCUCCACCACCAGUAUACAAGUACAAAUCACCUCCUCCACCGGUAUAUAAGUAUCAAUCUCCCCCACCACCAGUUUACAAGUACAAGUCACCUCCUCCCCCAGUUUACAAGUACAAAUCUCCACCCCCACCACCCAAGAAACCAUACAAGUAUUCAUCACCACCACCACCAGUUUACAAGUAUAAGUCUCCUCCUCCACCUGUUUACUCACCACCUCCACCAGUUUACAAGUAUAAAUCUCCUCCUCCACCAGUUUACUCACCACCUCCACCAUACAAGUAUUCAUCUCCACCACCUCCUCCGUACAAGUACUCAUCAC